rnacentral:lncRNA from 1 species
UCAACAGUCACAUUAGCUACAGCCGCAAUAGCUGAUAAAGCCGUCGCUGCCAAAAACACAGUAGCUUCCAAGCUCGGAUAUGGUGCCGACACCGAAACAACUCAAACAAACACAAGCAGCGAAAGACCAUCAACAAUCUCUUCAGCAACCUCUGCAAUAGCUGAUAAAGCUGUCACUGCCAAGAAUACUGUUGCUUCAAAGCUUGGAUAUGGUCCUGAAACAACACACCAAGAAGAAAAGCAAUCGGCAAUCUCUUCGGCAACCUCUGCAAUAGCUGACAAAGCUGUCACUGCCAAAAACACCGUAGCUUCAAAGCUCGGAUAUGGUCCUAAAACAACUCAUCGGGAAGAGGAAAAACCAUCGACAAUUUCUGCGGCAACCUCUGCAAUAGCUGAUAAAGCUGUCAAUGCCAAAAACACCGUAGCUUCAAAGCUCGGAUAUGGUCCUGAAACAACUCGUCGGGAAGAAGAAAAACAGUCAACAAUCUCUGCGGCAACCUCUGCAAUAGCUGAUAAAGCUGUCACUGCCAAAAACACCGUAGCUUCAAAGCUCGGAUAUGGUCCUGAAACGACUCAACGGGAAGAACAAAAACCAUCCGCAAUCUCUUCAGCAACCUCGGCCAUAGCUGACACAGCUGUCUCAGCCAAAAACACCGUUGCCUCCAAGCUCGGGUAUGGUGCUGACACUGAAACAGUUCAAGCAAAGCAUCACGAAGAAAAACCAUCAACAGUCUCUGCAGCCACCUCUGCGAUAGCUAAUAAAGCUGCCUCAGCCAAGAACACAGUAGCUUCAAAGCUCGGAUACGGUGCCAACACAGAAACAACACAAACAAAGAACUACCAAGAAAAUACAAGCAAUGAACAGCCAUCAACAAUUUCUUUAGCAACCUCAGCAGUAGCUGAUAAAGCUAUCUCAGCCAAAAACACCGUAGCUUCCAAGCUGGGUUUCGGUGACACAACAACAGCACAUGAAGAGAAGAGAAGAGAUCAUGCUGCUGCACCAACUGAAUAUGGAAAGAGUGUAGCUCAGUCUCUGACAGAGAACCUAGGUCCAGUUUAUGGAAAGAGUGGUGUGAAAUCCAAUGUUUCAGGUGAAAAUGCUAGUGUGGUUGUAGAACAAGACAAGGGUGUUUCUAUGAGGGACUAUUUGGCGGACAAGCUGAGGCCUACCCCUGAAGACAGGGCUCUCUCUGAAGUGAUAUCAGAGACUUUGCAUAAGAAGGAGCCAGUGGAGGUCAAUGAGGAAGGGAACAAGGGAGUGAAAAGAGUGAUUUCUGAUGCAGUGCAUAAGAGAGAGGAUGACCCUGAGGGAAGAGUAGACCAACAGAUACCAGUAUGGAAGGUAACAGAAUCAGAGGAAGUGAAAAGAAGGUUAGGAAGUGAAGAUGAAGAAACUGAGAGAAGGUACCAAGAGCUGUAUGUGAAGAGUCCAGGGACAGGUGUGGUUGAUAAGCUUAUGGGAAUGGUUGGGUCAUUGAUUACCAAUCCAGUGGAGAACGAAUCCUUACAAGGUAAUGAUCAUUAGUGUUUGUUUUCAUGAGGAAUGUCUCCAACAUGGUUUUCUAUAUUAUGAUGAUAUUUAUGCUGAUUUUACUCUCAUUACUGUAUUAUGUUAAAUUUUCCGUUUUGUUGUGGUUGCAUGUGGACAAAGAUUCCUCUACUACGAAUUAUGGGACAGAAGUGGAACAUCUUCGCCAAGGUGGAACUGAAAGAAGACUACAGGAGUCAUCUAAUUGAAGAAUCUUCUGAUGUGAAUUUGUCUAGAUUUAUGUUAUUGUUGUUUAUCUGCUGCUUGUGUAAUGUGUAUGGUUCUUUCUUACAAGAAGUCUGAUGUUUGAGUCACUGAUAAUUUAAUUUCAUGUUCUUUUAUUUUGUAUAUGAUGCUUUUGAGUCGGUACUGUUAUACGUGUGUUACUGUGUUAAUAAAAAUAUUUUAUGCAAUAAAUUGCGUUCUUUAAACAUUCAAACGUUGUUUUCAAAUUUAUUUAUUCAUUCCAAGUACGAGGCUAAUGCUCAAAGAAUUUGACUUCUUUUUUAUAUAUUUUAAUAAUAAGAUUUCAAAUUGAGGUGUUGAUAAAUGUGGGGCUAAUACAUAAAUUGUGAAAUGUGUGUUUUAUCCAUGGAAUAUGGAAUAAACAGUAUAUGAAUGAUAAUAUUUAUCUAUUUUGUACGUUUGUUUUUAUUAAUCAAAUCUAAUCUUUCAUAGUUUUUAUUUUUAUAUUAUAUUUCUUUUUGUAUUUUAGUUAGUUUAUGUAGGUUUUAUCUUUAAUUUUUACACGUAAUUGUUAAGUGCUAUUUUUAUUUGAUUUAAUUUUUAUAUAUGUUUUUAUUAUUUAAUUCAUUCUCAAUUUAUUGUUUAAACCAGAUUAAAUUAAAUUUUCAAUCAAAUUUAUUAUUUGUAUUAUCUUUUUAACAUAUUAAACUAAAAUAAUAUAUUAAAUUAAUUUAUUAUAAUAAUAAAAAAAAUUGCACAUAUUAAUUAUUUAGAUUAUUUAUUUUUACUUUUUAAUUACAUAAUAAAAUUUAUUGUUUUCAAAUAAAUAUUUAUAUUUUAUGUUUUAUUUUAUUUUAAAUCAGACAAUAAUUAUUUAUUUAUCAUAUAAAUAUUAUUUUAUUUAUUAAAUAAAUUUAAGUGUGGUUUAAAAAGUUAAAUAUUUAGAACUAUUGUAUUAUUAAUUCAUAUAUUUAUAAGAUUAAGAGUCUAAUAAUAUCGUUAGGUUUAAAAACAAUUUCAGAAAAAAAGUCAAUUGUGAUAUGAAUAUCAAUAAUGAGGACUUAAUUGACAUUAUUUGAAACUAUUCAUUGGAAUGAAAUGAGUAAUUAAAUAUUAUUUUUAUCUUUUGUUUUUGAAAUACAUAAAUUUUGAUAUAUUAUAUAAACUUAUCGAUUUAUGGCAUCUAUAUAUCAUUGUUGAUUUUGAUGUAAGGUCUCGAGUAAAUAUAUCUAAAGAAUUAAUAUUUAAUAGAGAAACUUAGAAAUUAAUUAUCGAAAUCAAUAGUUAAUUAGAUGAGUUUAAACUUAUAUAUAAAUAUUAUUAAAGAUAAGAGUGGAAAGAUUUUGAUUGGUGCAUAAUAAUUAAAUGUGUUAGCUUGAUCCGUGGACUUUUGAUUUGGGUUCUCAUUUUAUUGGCAGACACACUCAGGAGUCUCAAAAAGCGUCAAUUCUAAAGUUCAUUUUUUAAAAUAAGUUAUGGUGAGAGGUAUGUAAAAAACAUAUUCAUACAAAUUCAUACUGAAGAUUCAAUAAAUCCAAAUACAUCAAACAAGAUAUUUAAUCAUAUUCAGAUUUACAAGAAUAAAAGCGAAAGCAGAAAGACCAACCUCCAGCCAUUGUUAUACGCUGAACCCUUGCUCUUAGAACACGAUGGUGAUGUAUAUGAAGGAAAGAGUAGGCUCAGUGACCUGAUAUGAAAUUUUCUGAAGAAUCUGUAUUACUUCAAAAACCAUCACAGAGUAUUAAGGUUAUAAGAGAUUGUGGUGGAGGAAUGAUGGGCACGUUCUUAAAAACGGUUUUUAUCUUAAAAAUAAAAAUGGACCACUUUUCAGAAUAUUAACNNNNNNNNNNNNNNNNNNNNNNNNNNNNNNNNNNNNNNNNNNNNNNNNNNNNNNNNNNNNNNNNNNNNNNNNNNNNNNNNNNNNNNNNNNNNNNNNNNNNNNNNNNNNNNNNNNNNNNNNNNNNNNNNNNNNNNNNNNNNNNNNNNNNNNNNNNNNNNNNNNNNNNNNNNNNNNNNNNNNNNNNNNNNNNNNNNNNNNNNNNNNNNNNNNNNNNNNNNNNNNNNNNNNNNNNNNNNNNNNNNNNNNNNNNNNNNNNNNNNNNNNNNNNNNNNNNNNNNNNNNNNNNNNNNNNNNNNNNNNNNNNNNNNNNNNNNNNNNNNNNNNNNNNNNNNNNNNNNNNNNNNNNNNNNNNNNNNNNNNNNNNNNNNNNNNNNNNNNNNNNNNNNNNNNNNNNNNNNNNNNNNNNNNNNNNNNNNNNNNNNNNNNNNNNNNNNNNNNNNNNNNNNNNNNNNNNNNNNNNNNNNNNNNNNNNNNNNNNNNNNNNNNNNNNNNNNNNNNNNNNNNNNNNNNNNNNNNNNNNNNNNNNNNNNNNNNNNNNNNNNNNNNNNNNNNNNNNNNNNNNNNNNNNNNNNNNNNNNNNNNNNNNNNNNNNNNNNNNNNNNNNNNNNNNNNNNNNNNNNNNNNNNNNNNNNNNNNNNNNNNNNNNNNNNNNNNNNNNNNNNNNNNNNNNNNNNNNNNNNNNNNNNNNNNNNNNNNNNNNNNNNNNNNNNNNNNNNNNNNNNNNNNNNNNNNNNNNNNNNNNNNNNNNNNNNNNNNNNNNNNNNNNNNNNNNNNNNNNNNNNNNNNNNNNNNNNNNNNNNNNNNNNNNNNNNNNNNNNNNNNNNNNNNNNNNNNNNNNNNNNNNNNNNNNNNNNNNNNNNNNNNNNNNNNNNNNNNNNNNNNNNNNNNNNNNNNNNNNNNNNNNNNNNNNNNNNNNNNNNNNNNNNNNNNNNNNNNNNNNNNNNNNNNNNNNNNNNNNNNNNNNNNNNNNNNNNNNNNNNNNNNNNNNNNNNNNNNNNNNNNNNNNNNNNNNNNNNNNNNNNNNNNNNNNNNNNNNNNNNNNNNNNNNNNNNNNNNNNNNNNNNNNNNNNNNNNNNNNNNNNNNNNNNNNNNNNNNNNNNNNNNNNNNNNNNNNNNNNNNNNNNNNNNNNNNNNNNNNNNNNNNNNNNNNNNNNNNNNNNNNNNNNNNNNNNNNNNNNNNNNNNNNNNNNNNNNNNNNNNNNNNNNNNNNNNNNNNNNNNNNNNNNNNNNNNNNNNNNNNNNNNNNNNNNNNNNNNNNNNNNNNNNNNNNNNNNNNNNNNNNNNNNNNNNNNNNNNNNNNNNNNNNNNNNNNNNNNNNNNNNNNNNNNNNNNNNNNNNNNNNNNNNNNNNNNNNNNNNNNNNNNNNNNNNNNNNNNNNNNNNNNNNNNNNNNNNNNNNNNNNNNNNNNNNNNNNNNNNNNNNNNNNNNNNNNNNNNNNNNNNNNNNNNNNNNNNNNNNNNNNNNNNNNNNNNNNNNNNNNNNNNNNNNNNNNNNNNNNNNNNNNNNNNNNNNNNNNNNNNNNNNNNNNNNNNNNNNNNNNNNNNNNNNNNNNNNNNNNNNNNNNNNNNNNNNNNNNNNNNNNNNNNNNNNNNNNNNNNNNNNNNNNNNNNNNNNNNNNNNNNNNNNNNNNNNNNNNNNNNNNNNNNNNNNNNNNNNNNNNNNNNNNNNNNNNNNNNNNNNNNNNNNNNNNNNNNNNNNNNNNNNNNNNNNNNNNNNNNNNNNNNNNNNNNNNNNNNNNNNNNNNNNNNNNNNNNNNNNNNNNNNNNNNNNNNNNNNNNNNNNNNNNNNNNNNNNNNNNNNNNNNNNNNNNNNNNNNNNNNNNNNNNNNNNNNNNNNNNNNNNNNNNNNNNNNNNNNNNNNNNNNNNNNNNNNNNNNNNNNNNNNNNNNNNNNNNNNNNNNNNNNNNNNNNNNNNNNNNNNNNNNNNNNNNNNNNNNNNNNNNNNNNNNNNNNNNNNNNNNNNNNNNNNNNNNNNNNNNNNNNNNNNNNNNNNNNNNNNNNNNNNNNNNNNNNNNNNNNNNNNNNNNNNNNNNNNNNNNNNNNNNNNNNNNNNNNNNNNNNNNNNNNNNNNNNNNNNNNNNNNNNNNNNNNNNNNNNNNNNNNNNNNNNNNNNNNNNNNNNNNNNNNNNNNNNNNNNNNNNNNNNNNNNNNNNNNNNNNNNNNNNNNNNNNNNNNNNNNNNNNNNNNNNNNNNNNNNNNNNNNNNNNNNNNNNNNNNNNNNNNNNNNNNNNNNNNNNNNNNNNNNNNNNNNNNNNNNNNNNNNNNNNNNNNNNNNNNNNNNNNNNNNNNNNNNNNNNNNNNNNNNNNNNNNNNNNNNNNNNNNNNNNNNNNNNNNNNNNNNNNNNNNNNNNNNNNNNNNNNNNNNNNNNNNNNNNNNNNNNNNNNNNNNNNNNNNNNNNNNNNNNNUAUAUUUAUCACUAAACAUUAAAUUAUCUUUAGGUCUUAUAUUUAAUCUAAAUAUAAGAAUUAUAUUAUAAAUAUAUAAUAUUCAAAAUUUAUUAUACCAAUAUAUAAAUUUCAUGCACAUUAUAUAUAAUAAAUGCCGUGCAGUGGUUACGCAUAUAUAACAAAUGGCGUGUAUAAAUGGCAUGGAAAAAGCACUUUAAUCCGCAUAAUGUAAAACUACAACGCCUAUAAUACAACGUACAGUGCCUAACAUAUAUAUAAAUAUAUUAAGCAUGUGACAGUAACAUGAAAAGCAGCGAAAUUCACUUUCAAUCUAAAUGUUCAACGCGCAUAAUUAAAUGCCUAUCAAACGUGCAUAUAUCCGUAAAACGCAAUAAUAUAUACGCAGAAACAGCAACUCUAGAUAAAACCAGAAUUGUACAGCGUUGAUUAAAACCAGAAGCAGCAGUGUACCUUUUAAUCUCCAAUGUGCGUAUGCAGCAGUUAAAGAAGAAAAAUAAAACUGAAUAUAAUUUUUCAGAAAUAUGCCCAAAUUGAAACGCAAAGUUUCACUCAUCUUCAACCUCUCACAUGGUUCCAAAAUGCGUAUAUCAAACGCGAACACAGUAAUACGUGAGGGUUUCAGUAUCAAAAAAAUUUCACAGAAAAAUUUUACAAAAUAUUUCUUCUUUCUCCAGUUUCAAAACAAUUAAUAAAAUUGAAAAAGCGCAAAGGAGUGAAACAAACAAGGCAGAGGAUAAACAUGCUCUGAUACCAAAUGUAAAAAACAUAUUCAUACAAAUUCAUACUGAAGAUUCAAUAAAUCCAAAUACAUCAAACAAGACAUUUAAUCAUAUUCAGAUUUACAAGAAUAAAAGCGGAAGCAGAAAGACCAACCUCCAGCCAUUGUUAUACGCUUUCCUAAUUUCUGGUUUCUGAACCCUUACUCUUAGAACACGAUGGUGAUGUAUAUGAAGGAAAGAGUAGACUCAGUGACCUGAUAUGAAAUUUUCUGAAGAAUCUGUAUUACUCCAAAAACCAUCACAGAGUAUUAAGGUUAUAAGAGAUUGUGGUGGAGGAAUGAUGGGCACGUUCUUAAAAACGGUUUUUAUCUUAAAAAUAAAAAUGGACCACUUUUCAGAAUAUUAACUGCUUUAUAAUAUUAACUAAAGGAAAUAAAAUAAAUGGGAAAGAUAUAAUAUUAUAUAAUAUAAUAUUAAAAAUAUAACCUUUCUUCUGUAUAAGGCUAACAAGGUAAAUUGUCCAUUUUUUAAAAUAAGCUACGUUGAGAGGUAAAUUGGAUUCGGAUAUGUACAAGAUUUUAAUUAAGUUUUAAAUAAAAAAUUCUUUAAGAUUUCGAAGAUCCAAAUGAAUCUACGUGUAUCUAAGGUUGAAUCAAGUCAACUUAAAUUAAAAAUUAAAACGGAACGAUUUAGGUUAAAAGUCAAAAUAAAUCGAUCCAGAAGGUCGAGUUUAGUCAACAUAAAAAAAUGAUCAAGACGAGUCAACUCAUUUUGAACAUUAAGACAAACUGACUCGAACCAAAAGUCAAGUCGAUCUAAGCUAAUAAUUAAAUCGAGUCAUUCAAACUAAAGGUUAAGUCGAGCCCACCUACACCAAAUGUUGAAACGAGAGUAAAAUUGGGUCAAAAUUAGUGACAAGUUAACCUAAGUUAAAGGAUUUAGUCUAAUGAGUUUGGGUUAAAUGUUUAGCCCUAGUCAAUUUGAGUUAAAGGGUCAAGUCAACAUAAGUCAAAGGUCGAGUCCAAUCAUCACAAUGUCGAGCCAAGUCGUCAAGGGGUUUUUAUUUUAUUUUAAUUAAAAACAUUAACUGUAUUUAUACUACAUAAUAUCCCGUCUGGGAAAGAAACCGAACAAGAUACCAAAUAACUGACUAUAGACCAAUCAGUACGGAUAACCAUUGAGAUAAUUAAAGGCUAGUUAAUGAAAGAUAAUAUUUAUCAAUGGACGGUUAACAAAAAUAAUAACAACUAUUAAUAGUAUAUUAAUUUGGUCUAAUUUAAUUGUUACCGUAAACUUUAUAAAUACAGAUUUAUUGUCAAGAUAAAAGACAAUUUUUAUGACUUAAUUCUUCUAAAUCUUUUUAAGAAACAUAUAUGACUUAAGUAUGAAUAUCUUCUGGAUAUCAAAUACCUGUACAUUAAUUGGUUUUAGAGUAAUAGUUGGAAAAAGUGGACCAUUGAAAAUUGGAGUGAAAAUAGAGUUAAAGAAGUUGAUCAUCGACCUUAUACUACAGAAACAAUAUAUAUUAUUUUUAUUUUAUUUUCUGAUUAAACUAUUAAUUAUUAAUUGAAAAUCUUAUUAUUAGUAUAAUUUAUUAGUAUACUUUGUAUUUCGUAAUAUAUAUAUAUAUAUAUAUAUAAAUAUAAAGUUAGUUUUAAUCUAUAACAACAAAUUAGUUUGAAUUCAUUUUUAUUUGAAUGAAAUUAUUAUUAAAUAAAUACUUAUAAUUUCCAAUUUUAUUAUUUUUUUCUAAAAAUAUAUUAAAAUUAAUAUUACAAUUUAUUUUAUUAUUUAAUUUGGUAAUAUUAAUUAUGUUUACGAUUUUUAUUUUACUUCCUCCUUAUAUUAUUAACUAUUAAUUGAUUUAUUAUCAAUAAUAAAAUUAAUACCUAGUACUAUAUAAAUUAGAUUUAAUCCGGGAAACUAGUUUUAAUCUAGUUUUAUUUGAAUGAAAUUAUUAUUAAAUGCGUACCUAUUAAUUCUGUUUUUAUUAUAUUUUCUUUUCUAAAAUUAAAUUAAAAUUAUUAUUGCAAUUUAUUUUAUUACUUAAUUAUUUUUUUUGGUUGGAAAUUUUAACUAUAUUUUACUAUUGUUAUUUAUUUCAUGAUUAAACUAUUAAUUAUUAAUUGAAAUCAUUAUUGUCAGCAUAAUUAAUAUUUGGUAAUAUAUAAGUUAGUUUUAAUCUUUUAAUCUAGUUUUAUUUGAAUAAAAUUAUAAUUAAUAAUACAUACUUAUUAAUUCGAUUUUUAUUAUAUUUUUCUAAAUUAAAUUAAAACUAUUAUUACCAAUUAUUUUAUUACUUAAUUAUUUUUUUUAGUUGGAAAUAAAAUAUUUUCAAUUUUAAUUUUAUAUCCUAAUCAAAUUAUUAAUUAUUAAUUGAAAUUAUUUAUGGACGCAAUUAGUAAGAUAUGUAAUCUACGAUGUUCUUGUGUCAGAAAAGUACAUUAUCACGUAUAAUAUCUAAUUUUAGUAUUAUAAAACUAAUAAAAUAAGAUAUUUUAUAAUAUUAUUCAAAAUGAUUAAUUUAGAAUAUAAAAUUACAGUUUGCACAAAAUUUAGAAAAUUAUUUUCUUACAUACAAAUUAAAUAUAAUUGAGUCAAAAAUACAGUGAAAAAAUAUCAAUUCAAUUGGGUAAGCGUGAAAAAAUUAUACAUUAAACAAGAAACAAAGAUCAAAAUAGUUUGACAUUUUUUUAGUUAAUCUCUAUUUUAAAAAUCAAGUUCUUAAUAAGAAAUGUUAAAUUAAUUCAAUUUAAAGAUUUCACACAAAUAUUUCUAACCAUAAUUAAACCAAUAUUUUCAUCUUUCGUACAAUUUCACAGCUGAAUAAAAAUAUGUCAACAAAGCCCACCAUAUAAACCAAAACACAUUAUUUUAGCACAGAUUUCAUAUAUAAGCUUAUAACCAAUUUAGCAAUUCUAUACAGCACAGACCAAAACGAGCAAUAAUUCAAACUCCAAUUUCAUCACAUUAAAAUUACAGCCAACAAUUUAAAUACAAAACCAUAUGCAAAAAUAUUGACAUUAAUUUCCAUCACAUGUUCUUAAGUUCAUCCAAGCUUUCUCACAGCUUCCAUCUAAGAAAUCCUAUUUAGACUCACCGCAGUGACUCCAAAGGUUGCUUCUAAAAGAAAAAGUGAAAUUUGAAUGGGAAGUUGAGAAGAGAAGAUGGAAGAACAAAUAAGACUGAAAUGGGAAGAUUGUGGUUUGGCUUCUCCCAGGAAAUAUAUAAAAAAAAAAGAAAAAAAAAAACCUCUUUUACUUUUAAAAUAUUAAUUUGGUGUUUAAAAAACUAUUUUUCUAUUUAUUUUUUAAAAGAUUUAUGUAAUUUUUUAUUUGUAUAAAUGGUUUUAUUUAAAUUAGUUGAUUUAAUGAGUAUUAAUUAAAUCAAUUUUCAUUUAUUUUAAAUUUAAUUUUUCUGAUUUCCUUUAGUUGAUUUCUAAUUUUAAAUAUUUUUUUAUGUAUGCCAUGCUAGUUUUUUUUUUUUUAAUUUUUAUUUACAUAUUAAUUAAACAAAAUACUCACCUACUAAAUAGUACAAUAAUUAUUUUUCUUAAUAAAAUUAAAGUUACAUAAAAAUAGGAAAAAAAUUAAAAUAAUAAAUAAAUACAUUAUAAUAUAAAGAAUAAUAAAAAUAAAAAUAUUUAUACACUAAAAGCAUUUGAAAUAAAUUGUUUUAAUAUAUGUCUUAUAAGUAGAUUGUUGGUCAAACAAACUAAUUAGAUUAUAAUCACGAACUUAGUUACUCUUGUUUAUUAUCCAAAUCUAAUCAGUCCAAUGAGUAACAUUCCUGUUUUAAUAUAUGUCUUAUAAAUAAGAUUGUUGGUCAAAGUAAACAUUCUCUUGAAAAUAGUUUAUCCAGAAUCAUCCCUUCUAGUUUGUAGAUGAUAUUAUCUAUUUGUUUUUCUUUAAAUCACCAUUAUAUAUUUUCAUUAAUAAGCAUUAAAUUAUUUAUAGAAUGUAAAAUGUUUAUCUUUUUGUAUGAUUAUUUAGUUUUCCAAACGUAAAAAAAUUAAAAUUUUAAUUAUUUGUUUUUUUUUAUUUUAACUAGUACUAUAUUUUUAUUUUUAAUUUUUAAUUUAAAUAUGUAUAGAUUAAUCUCUUGAAUAUAUAUAGAGUCAUCUAUUUAUAAUAAAAGAAAUAUAAACCCUAAAUACAUAACGAAUUAAAGAUAAAAAAGAUAGAAAAAAGAUAAAGAUAAUAUAUUUUAACCGUCUACGUGACACCAAAUUGUUAAUGAUAUAAGAACAUAGAAGAUGAAAUACUGACUCAAAAGAGUCUAAUUGAGAGACAAAUAUGAAAGGUUGCUCCAUAUAGAUCUUUUCUUGGAAGUCGUUAAUGUCUUGUUCCCUUAAAGGGAUUUGGAGGAGAGUAAUUAAAUGAAUUUGAGAGGAUUUGAACAUAAUUUUUGUUGUGGUUUAUUUGAGUGGAUUUGGAAAUAAGUGAGAGUGAAUUUGGAAGUAAAUUUUUUCAAUUUGUCACAUAAAUUAAAUCAUACACUAAUUCUUACAAACUUUACUUCCAAUUCCACUUUCACUUACCUCUAAAUCUACUCAAAUAAACAACAACAAAAAUUAUCUUCAAAUCCUCUCAACUCCACUUAAUUACUCUCCCCCAAAUCCCUUCAAGUGAACAAGGUAUAAGGAAUGCAUGGUUGACAUCUAGUGGAUAAAGAGGUAAUUGUUGAAGAGUCAUCAUGACUAUAAAUAAACUAACAAAGUCCAUCUUUGCCACAUGAAAAAAAACAUAUAUGGAUGUGUCAAAUGCAAUGAUAACAAAAAAAGGUUAGAAAAGACAACAAUUGAAGAAGUCAUAGGUGAACAAGAGAGAGAAACGUUAAAAAUUUAAAAUUCUCUAAUCUAAGGCACCGAAAAGAAGAACAAGAAGGACCUGCUCUAAAUUCAGCGCAUGAUGAUCAUCUAACUGAGACCAUAAAAACCUUGAUCGUGAGUCAAAAUUGAAAUUUCGACAGUGGUAAUGAUAGAUGACGGCGCCGCUCGCAAUGAUAGAUAGCGGCAUUAUUGCAAGUGUAGUAUUUUGAGACAUCAUGUAAGACUUCAAAUUAGUUUUCUAAAAGUAAAAGUAAAAAACUUUUUUUCACUACCGGUGAGAAGCCAAAAUCUUCCCAUUUUAGUCUUCCUGUUUUCUGAAUUCUUUUAUAAGAGAUCUUCUAUAACUAUUUUAUUCUUUUAUUUAUCUUUCAUUGUUAGGUUUACAUUGGUCUUUUAUUUAUCUUUCAUUGUUAGGUUUACAUUGGUCUUUUAUUUAUCUAUUGGUUUCAAUUCUAGUUUUUUUUUUUUCAAUUGUUUUUAUUAUUUGCAAAAAAAGAAAAUAAAUUUAAAUAUGAACUUAUAAAUAGCACAAAAUAUUAAAUAAAGAAUUUAUAUCUCUCAAUAUAUUUAAAAAUAAUUUAAAAUUAAUGUAAUCAUAGAAAAUAUUCUUUCUUCUCUUAAACAAACCCUCUAGUAUUUAUUUUCUUACCCGAUUUAGAAUAUGAUUUGUUAUGAGAUAAAAUAAUAACUUUUUAAAAUAAUUGUCUAAAUCUAUAAUUUAAGUAAAGAAUGGAUUAAAAUUUUAAAUGGUUGAGGUUAGAAUAUAUUAUAUUUGUUUUUUUUAUAUCUUUUAUUUUUAUUUAGUUUAUUAUUAUUUUUUAUUUUUAUUUUAGACUUAGCUUUUAUUUUUUCUAUUAUAAAUAGAAUAUAUAUAUUUAACACAAAAAAAUUAAUUUAUAUAUAGUUUUUCAUUAUUCAAUAUGAUAUUAAAACCGCCUUUUUUUGAGAAAAAAAAAGUUUUGUUGUCUCUGUUUUUUUGAGAAAACAUAAGAGAACGUCACAUGUUAAAAAAAAGUUGUUAUUUGUGUUUUCUAAUUUGUAACAUUUAUGUGUAUGUUUCAAAGUGACCAAAGUGAUCAACACUACUCAUAUAAACUUAGUUAUUUUUUUUGUUUUUGUUUUAAUGGUAUCUUCUAUAUGUUUUUUUAUUUGCUCAUUUUACUACAACUUUGUUAAGUAUUAAUAAUUAAUAUUAAUUAGAGGAAAACGAAUCACAUUAGGUUUUUUAAAAAUAAUGUCAUAAAAACGAAAAAAUAAUAUUUAGCUCUAUCACUCAAUUUGUUAUGGUAAUAUCAUAUUUUUUUGUUAUUUAAAUAAAAAAUAUUUUUAAAUGUAAAAAACAAAUUUUUAAUUAUAUUAAUUUGUUGGUAUUUCAUAUGAGACAAUUAGAUCCAACAUUGGAUUUCUUCUUUAAAAUUUUUGUUUAUUCAGUUUUUUUAAGCAAGAUUUACUUGGAUCUAUGAACUUGUUGAAUAUUGGAUCCACGAACUUCUUGAAUGCUAAUUUUUUCGUAUUUGUACACACACUCUUGAUUAUUUGCUCCAAUUUGCAUUGUUUCCCAUCCUUCCUUCUUUCUCCAAGUUUUCUUCUUCAACUUUUUUGCUUAUAGGUGGGUACUGUGGUUUUCUAAUCCAGAUGUAUCGCAGUAUUCAUGGUAUUUUCUAAUUUUAUAUUCAUAAUCAUGUUUGUUGCUAUUUCAAUAACCAACUCAUUCUAUGAUAAUGUCAUACUGUAACCAAUUUAAGUACUAUAUUGUCAUCAAAAUAUAUAUUUUAACCUAAUCUACUUGUAAUUUGUAUUAGGUUAUGCCGAUGUUAGUGGCGAAGAAGGAAGAGUCAAUAAACAAAAUCAAUGACUUACCUGUAAGCAUUCUGUUCCACAUACUGGAAUCCAUGGACGCAAGGGAUGCAGUGCAGACUUGUGUCUUAUCAAAACAAUGGAAAGAGCUUUGGAAGAGUAUGACUAGUUUUUCUAUUAAGUCCAAAUUUAGAAGAGUCAUUGAUUUUAACAAAUUUGUGUCUCAAUUUCUUCGUCGUCGAGAUGGUUCAAUUUCUUUCUCUAGAGUUGAUAUUGUUCUACACCGUCUCUCUCAGAUCAAGAAGCUGAACAGGAUCAUCACAUAUGGUGCAUUGCAUGAUGUUCAGCAGAUGACACUGCAUUUUUGUUUCUAUAUGUUCGAUUCUAAAUUUCCUUCCUUCAACCUCCCAUGUUCAUCUUUGGUUUAUCUUCAUCUUACCCAUAAGCACUUUUGUCGUCCUGUGUUGAAAUUUCCAAACUCUCUCCUUUUGCCUGUGUUAAAAGUGUUGCACCUUGAGAAUCUUUGUUUCAGUGCAAGUUACGGUGAUUAUGCAGACCCUUUUUCAUGUUAUAACUUGCUGCAUACUUUGAUCCUUAAAGAUUGUUCUUUAUGCAGAUUUGACACUGAAGAACUGUUGAUAUCUAAUUCUAAUCUUUCUACCCUUAGUCUGCACCAUAUGAACAGAAAACCUUACAAAUUUUUUCUUUCGACUCCAAUUCUUAGUUUUCUAACUAUGACGGGUCAAAGUUAUUUCUGCAAUCUUUCAGUAGAAAAUAUUAAAGUUCGAUCUUGGUUGAAGCAGUUUUCUAAUGUAAAAGAACUAACUCUCCCUGAUGCUGCAGUUACAUUUAUUUUAGAGGUGUUACAUUUGUUUAUGUUUUUUUUUUUUUUGUUUUUUUGGUUCUAAUAAUGCUUCUAGAUAUCCAUUGUAAUAUGAAUUCAAUGUAUGAUUUGUAGGUUCUGUCAAAGCAUAAUUUAGUGGAAACUCAAAUUGCUUGUCUUCCAAAGUUAGAGUUAGUAAAAGUGAUAAAGGAUGUAACGUCUGAUGAAGCUUUAAACACGAUGGUACAGUAUUUACAUAAGAACUUUCCAUUAGUUAGAGUUGACUUUAUAAACAGAUGAAUUAGAUGUUAUAUAUCUGUUUUUAGUUAGUUUUGUGUUUCUUAUUAAUUGAAGUUUUAAUUUCAUUUUAGUAAAUAUAAUGUAUUAAGUUAUAUUUUUUUAAUAUUUUCUUAUGAAUAGUAGAAACCUUAACUUUUUAAGGUUGCUGGAGGGGAUAAUAAAUUUAAAGUUUAUGCAUAUAUUUAACGUUGAAUGAUAUUUACUGUAUUAGAGAGAUUGAGUUUACGAAACCUAAAUUUUGAUGUGAUCCCUUCCAAAGAUAAUUAACACUCUAUGUUUAACGAAGAUCUAAAAAUUUAGUUUGCAAAUGUUUUAUACUUUUUUUUUUCUUGUUUAAUUUUAUCAAUAAAUUUAUUUUCAAUUUUAACCUAUUAAAAGUGAAAUACUCAUUUUAGAAAAUCUAUUUUUUUUAAGAGAUACUAGAAUGAGUCAUUUAUAAUUCUUUGCCACUUAGACCAUAGUUCCAAGAUUAACCUAUAUAAUUACUCGUUGAAAACAAAUUUGACAAAUUUUAGUAUAAAUUGUUUUAAUAUGUGUCUUCUAAGUACGAGUAAUUAUAAUUCCUGAUGAGCUAAAAUUUUCAUACGGUGAUAAUGGUAGGAAAAAUCAUGCAAUUUUUUAUCGGUAAGUUUUGCACAUAAAAUUGUCUCUUUACAUGAUUCACAACUUUUGCAUUUUUUUCUAUUUCAAAUUCUGAUUUUAUUCCUCAAAUCUUAAUUUCAUAUAAAUUUCCCCACUCUUUCUAUCUUAUUUAUAUCUCUCAUCCUAGAAAUUAAAUUUUUUAUCUUUAUUUUAUAAUUAUUUAAUUUAAAUAAGUAGAAUUUUAAAUUUUCAAAAUAAAAAAAAUAUUUUAAAUAUUCAAAAUAUUUAAUUAUUAUAAAAAUAAGCCGACAAACUUUUAGUUAUUUGAUAUUUAUUUUUUGUUUUUUUAAUAUUGAAAAAUAUAUUAUUUAUUAGUUUAUUCAAAACUCUUUUUAUUUUAUUUAAUAAGAAAAAAAACAUAUUAUAAGUCUUUAACCACCAUAAAAAAUUGUUAUAUUAUAUUCAAAUGGAUGAGGGGUGUAUUUUUGGAAACUUAUUCUCGAGAUAAUGUUUUUAUUUUUUUUAUAAUUGGAUUCCAAAUUCCCUUCAUUUUAAAUAGUCUAUAUUAGUUUUUUGUCUAUUGAAUUUUUUUUUUUAAACUUUAUUUUCAAAAUUAUUUUAUUAAGUUUCUUUUCAAAUUAGUUGUCUCCUGUGAAAACAAUGGAAAGAGUUUUGGGAGCCUAUGACUAGUUUUUCUAAUAAGUCUACAAGAUCACAUAUGGUGCUGCCAAUCAAAUUAGUUGUCUCUUGUGAAAACAAUGGAAAGAGUUUUGGGAGCCUGACUAGUUUUUUUAUUAAGUCUACAAGAUCACAUAUGCUGCUGCCAAUCAUAUUCAGCAAAUCACACUGCAUUUUUGUUAAAAAAUAUUCAAUAAACGUAGAAGCAGUUCUUUUGAUCCGCAUCCUGUUUGUUAUUUCAUUUUAUUUUAUUUUCAAUCAUUUUAUUUCACUUUAUUAAUGUAGAAGAAAAUAAACAAAGAAAUCUUCAACAACCAAUAGAUUUCAUGAUUUGACACAUGUUAGUAAAUAUGAUGAAUUAAGUUAUAUUUUUUUUUUAUAUUUUUUAAUGGAUAAGAUGGGUGGAAAGGUUAAUUUUUUUUACAAAAGUUGCUAAAAAUAUUUAAUUUUGUUUUUAUGAUUAUUUAAUUUAAAUAGGUAUAAUUUUAAUUUUUCAAAAUAAAAUUAAAAAUAAAAAUUUUAAUUAUUUUGAAUAUUAACUUCUUCACUAAAAUUUGAUUCAUUUGAUAUUUACUUUUUUUUUUAAUUUCACUUUUCAAUAUUAAAACUAUGACUUUAUUUUUAAUUUAUUUUUUGUUUUGAAAUAUUGAAAAAAUAUAUUUUUAUUAGUAUAUUCAAAACUCUUUUUUAUUUUAUUUAAUAGAAAAUAAAAUAUCAUUAUACAAUGGGGAAGAUGCAAAACUUAAGAUGACACACUAUCAUUUAUAAAAUUAAUUUUAGAACACGAAUUACAUAACCUAAAUUGAGUCCUCUCCAAUAAGAUGGAAUGCAGCUGAACAUUUGCAAUCUGAUAAAAGAAAUUUAAAGAUGCUAUAAUUUCUUUGCUUAAUUAUGUAUUUCAAAUCGCGAACAAUGCGUUCAUUAAUUCCCUUUCUUUCACAGGCUUCGUUUUAGUUUUUUUGCAUAUUAGAAAUUUUGUUUUUCAAACUUUAUUUGCAAAAUUAUUUUGUAAAUGAUAGAUAUAUUAUUUUUAUAUUUUUUGAGUUAAUUUAUUAUUAUUUUUAUUUAUGUUUUGAGUUUAAUUUUAUAUAAAUAGAAUAUGUUAAAUGUAUAUUUAUAAAUUAAUCUCAUCAUAAAAGAAAAUUGUUUUUCCGUUACGUGGUCACUAGGGAUGACAAUAAAAUUUGUAUUCAUAGGUAUAUGUGAACAAAAUUCAUUGCGAGUAUUUAGUAUAUGUGGACAAGAGAUACCUGUGGAUAGCAGGUAAUUUAAUACCCGCUCAUUAAUGAAUCGGAUUCGAAUAUCACACUAUCCAUACAUGCAGGUAUCCGCUGUCCCUUUGAAAAAACAAAAUUCCAAUUUUACACAUUACUUUUUUAAGAAAUUAGAAAAUAAGUUAAAAUAUUUUAUUUUAAUUUUACCUCUCGGAGGAAGUAAAGGGUCAAAUCAAAUUGAUCUUCCUUUGGGUUUCCUUCUUUUUUUCUUCUCUCUCAAACUUCCUUCCCUUCUUCUUUCUUCUUUCUCAAAAUUUCCUUCCCUUCUUCUUUUUUCUUUCUCAAAAAUAAAAAAGAAAAGGUAAGAUUGGAAUUUAGAAAAAAUUGAGAAGGUAAAAGGAGAAGAUGAGAUGGUAGAGAGAGUAACAAUGUUGUGCAAGAAUAAACCUUGAAUGUGACCAGUUUGGACCAUUUAUUGGAGCUGAUUUGGACAAAAAAAAAAUGUAGAACAACCACUGAAACCCACUACAAUGGACCCAAAAAAAUUUGCUACUCUGGCCAGACCUAAGGUAGAAACCUCAAAACUGAAAUGCUCACCUAAUUUGACCACUAUCAAUUGUUAAAGUGAGUAAUUUAAUGUUGCAGACCUGCCUCUAAUAGACAUAAAUCAAAUGCACCUAAACUGGGCAUAAUUAGCUUGACUGUGGCAGUCCUAGAACGUGACCACCUUUGACCACUUUUUGGUGCUAAACUGGUUAGCUUAAAACAUAUAGAUUAGUCGCUGGAAAGCUCACUUAUUUGAGCUAUAAAGAUACUAAUUUAGACAGUUCCAAAACUAACUAUAUUGGAGCAUCUUUAAUGUGAAACUAGGCAAGGUUGUGAGCUGCAAAAUACAAGCCUGAAAAACCUACUACAUUGGACCACUACAUUGCUAAACUGAACAGGAUCGAAAGCUGCAAUAAUAAGGAGGAAGGACUCUCCAUGUUAGACAAUUUCUCUAUUAACUAGAUUGGAUAGCUUACUGCUGGAUAAACAGCCCUAAAACAGUUACUACACCUGACCUUAAUCACUCCCUCUAGCUCAAGGUUUAAUCCUAAAACAAUGCACGUAAAUCCCUUACCCUCAAAACUCCACAUUUUAGCAAAAACACUUCACUCAAGAGUUGCUUCAGCAAAAACACUUGCCUCAAGCCAAAAUUUUUGCACAAAUUCCCUCACCAUUCUAUAUCUCUACCCAAAUCCAAAACUGUACUAAAACACAUCCAGCCAAUCUCUGCUAGCAGAAAAUUAAGUAAGCUACUGCUUUGCACAAACUCACCUCAGAAACUUGCAUCUGAACACCUUAUGCAUACACUUUAAGUGAAUAACUUAAUCACACCAAAACCCCUAGCAUAGGACCAGAAGCCAAUUUAAUCGUAUCAACAGAUUUAAAACCAUAUCCCAAUUAAUUGGAGCCAAAAAGACUCACUCAGCCAAGACCUUUAAUCACACCCUGUUCACAUCAUUAACAUAAAAUAGAAUUCUUACAACAGCCUUUUAAUUAUAACAUCAGAACCCCAUAUAAGACUUGCACCAGCAAGGUAUUAAUCUACCUCAUCUACACUGCAGCCCUUCGAUUACCACUAGAGGCAACUCUCCAAUCAAUCACAGGAUCAAAGAUUCAUCAUGCCAGAUUUCCUUGCAAUAAAACAAUACAUUGGCCAGGUAUUGGCAGCAAGCAACAUUUUAAUCAAACAACUAACAUGCCCUAUGAUUGUAUAUAUAGUCUGAGGCAUAUUAUAACACCAAUAUACCCUUCAUUCUGCACCAGUGCAGUCAAGCAAACAAUGCCAUAAUCAGGACCAGCAGGCACGUGAUAAAUCAAAGAUCAAACCAAACAUUCAGGCCGACAACUACUGCACAGAUAACUGAUGGAGUCUAAUUCUCUUGUGAAUUGGUACAAACCUGGUUGCUGCCCCUGCACUCACAAAGUACAUUCCCGAAAAUAGUUGCUUCAACAAUUAACAUUCAAAUAACCUCAAUCCAAUACAUAGACACCCAAAUUUCAUGUCACAAUAGAGAACAUUGUGUAUUCACUCAAUCAUAGUUUGAAGUGCAGCGUUUCAGAAUUAGAAGACAUUAACAUGAUAGUCAUUCAACCGCAGAACGCAUAUUCUAAUUUCGCAGAAAAAAAAAAAAAAACAGGAUAGCAUCCCCUACCUCUUUUGCUCUUGCACCGAACAACCUAUUCUGCAGUCUCCUUCUUUUCCACACUCACUCUUCUCUGUUUUUCCUCUGCUCCCCUAGGCUUUCCUCACUUAGCCAUAUAUAAAAGAAACUAACUGAAGCUCCACUUCCUUCAGAAAAUCCGAGAAAAACUCCUUGCAAUUCCCCUAUUUCAAACCAUUAGCCCAACAAGAUACUCUCACUAAAUGAGCUACACAUGUGAAAACACACGUACUUUUCUUAUUAAUAAAUAUAAGUCAUGUUAGAACAUCACUUUCAAACACUAAGUUUUCCCCGAAUCUUACACUAGUAAUAUUAAAAAUAUGAUGUUUACUUUUCAUAAUGACAUUUUUGUUCAGGUAUUUUGUUUAAUGCUCUGGAAUUAUAAAUCUUAUAGUCUAUGCCAUUUUCACUUAUUUAACAAUUUUCUAAAAUUGUGUUUUAACCAAUUCAAUAAAUUUGGUUAGGCAAUUUAUUGCUUUAAUUAUGGAUUCCAUAAGAAAUAAGCAACUAAAACGAGUAUAAUUGUAACAUCCCAUUUUAAUAGUAAUAUAGUAUAAAAUUAUCAAAAUGAAACUUUACAUAAAUGCUACAAGAACAACUAGGUAAAACAAAUCUUUUACAAAUCUAUGUUUGUAGAUCCAUCUUUCUACACCUCUGCUUCAUCCUCACCUCUCGCUAGAGUAAUUGAGAAGACGACUCCCUAAGCUCAUCCCACAUUUUAAUAGUAAUAUAUAAACUCAUUUAAACAUGUUACAUACAACAAACAUAUCACUACACAGUCAUCAAACACUUUAUGCAGGACACUUAUUAUGAAUGAACUAUCCGAACUUAGAAUGAAUGUCGAACUAUGGCAGGUUGUGCACUUAUGGUGACUUCUACCACUUUGCAAAGUCAUUGCCAAUGAGUUUCACCCUACUACGCUCACAAGGUUACUUUGUUCCACGCCUUGGAUCAUACUGGAAGCACCCAAGAUUGAAACCUCCUACUAUUCUAUGUGAGAAUGAAUGACCAUUAAAGUGUCACUAUAAUUCCCAAGAUUGAGCUCCCUGCAUUCAGACUAAAGAUACUUGGAACUACACUAAGAAUUCCACCUUGGAACUCACUUUCACAACUUUGAACACCUUUAAAACCAUGUACAUAUGUCACUUUACUUUCACGUUGAAUACCAAGAUAUAUCAUCUUUAAUCAUACAUCAAAUGCAUACAUAACUUCAAUAAUAAACCAUAAACCGACAUAGAAUUAUAUAGAUAUUUCUACACCAUUCUCAAAGUCAAAACAUAGCUUAAAAUUAUCAUAAAACAAACAAAGAAAUAUUCAAAACAGGUUUUGGACUAGUCGCUCAGCGCACCAAACUCGUGCGAAAACAGAAACAAUAUGUUCUAUUCGCUCACCUCUCGCUCAGCUGGACUCUCGCUCAGCUAGAAGUGUUAUGCUGGCUCAGCGCACACUCUCUCGUUCAAUGAGACUGCUUCUAUAGCACCAAAACUGUAGAAGUGUUAUGCUCGCUCAGCGGUCAUCUUUCCUGACUUCUAACACUCCUAGAUUGUAUUAUACACUUAAAUGGACCUAAACAAAUGUAUUUAAACCAACCUAAACUCAUUUUAAAGUGAUUGAUUAUAAGAUUCCAAUCCAACAUUAACCAAAACCUCACUUUAUAGACUCAAAUAGAAUUCCACCAAUUAUGACUUAUUUUCAAACAACUUAGGGACUCCAACAAAACAUCUCAUAACAGACCCCAACUGCCUCAAACCACUUUACCAUCCUUCUCACCAUUUCACUACCUAAGACCUCCUUUUUCCUUCAAACACUACUAAACUUCAACUAUAAAUUUCACUUUCAUUAUAGCUUAGAUUUCAAUCCCCAAUAUACAUCCAACAAGUCCCAAUCUACCUCAUGACAAUACCUAAACAAUAGUUAACUCUCAAAAGCCUCUAUUUCUCAAACUCACUUAUGCAAGCCUCUCCUCUUAGACUUGAAAACUCAAAGAUGUAACCAUUUCUCAUCACAGCCACCUUGAAUUUAGUUUCUAAUAACAGCACAACUUCAUCAACCACAUCACAACAGUAUAGCAUAUCAAGAUCACACAAUUACAACUACACUUAUAAAACACACAAUUAUAGUGAAUUCUUCAAAAUCAACAACAAUUCAUAGAAAUACCAAAUUAGUAAUAUAACCAUAAAUAAGGCAAGAAUCCUAGCUUUCCUUUUCUCAAAAGAAACAGCCCCAACUCAAAGAACGUUCCGCCGAUUACUUGAACUGCAAGGAAUACCUAAACGAACCUACGAAACACCAAAUUGAAAACGGACAGAGUCCUUAGAACUCUAGAUGAACCAAGAAUGAGUAAGAGAGACGUGAUUACACAUGCAACAAUACUAGAUUCCUCUAAAAUAGAUUUUGGAACGAAAGGGGGAAAAUAAGUCAAAACUUAUUUGCUUUAUUGAAGAAACUGUCGGAUAAAAAUGUAGACCUCGUUGUUGUGGUCGAUUAGAUAUCUCUUGAUGGUAAAAGAGAUGACUUAGGAGCUGGAAAUCUUAGAGAAAAGGUAGAGAACUUUAGAAAAAUGGUUUACAGAGAGAUGGUAGGUUUUUUUAAAAUAAUGAAACUCUUUAUAAUAAAACUAUUUAUAAUAAAAGCAUUUAACAUUAAAAUAAUCCUCUCACUAUUUUUUAGACUACCACCACUUCUAAAAUACCAUUUUAUGGGAUUUUACAAUAAUGAUCCAGUUAACAAAUAUCUAAUUUCAUUAAUAAAAACAUCAUGACAAAAUCCUCAUACUAUAUUGAACAUGAGAUUCACUGCUACGAAAGCUAAAUGACAAUUAUUAUAAAUAAAACUAUUAAUACUACAAAUGAAGAGAUAUACACGUUUCAUUACCACAAGCCUUUAUAUCCCAUUCUAACAUAUCAAAUAUCAUGUUUUUUUUAGUUCAUGCAACAAAGUUAGCUUUAACCUCAACUAAAUUAAUCCUCUCUUUUAGAUUUUAUAUCCUGAAUGAUAUGAAGAAAAUCUGAGUUCAAAAUUAUGACAAGAAGUUUUCAUAUAAAAAUUCAAGUAUGAUAUUAACAUUUAUUGUAUAAUAUGGUUAGAAAUUGUAAAUCUUCUAGACAUACAACAAUUUUAUAAUAUAAAUAUAUAUAUAUAUAUAUAUAUAUAUAUAUAUAUAUAUAUAUAUAUAUAUAUAUGUGUGUGUGUGUGAGUAUAUAUCUUAUUUUAUAAGUUUAUUGUGUAAAAUUAAAUUAAAUAUAAAAUUGACCUUUAAAAUAAGAGUGAAUUAAUCUUACAGAGAAAUUAUGAUGUAUUUCCAUAACUUCACUUUGAUGGUAAAAAAUCAUUUAUAGAAAUGAUGACUUCUUCUCAACGAAGUUAUACUUCAAAAUGUAAUUGACCCGUUCAAAAAAAUCAAUUAACAUUUUACCAAUUACCAUUAAGUUGACAUUUCCUCCCUUCAUUCUUUUAUUGUUAUAAGUAAACACAAAAUUCAAUCAAUUUAGAUUAAAAAGUAUAUGUGAAUAUAUAUAUAUAUAUAUAUAUAUAUAUAUAUAUAUAAUUUUAAAAUUGUGAUAAUUGAUGAAUUAAAAUGAAAAUAAUAAAUUUAUAUUAUAUAAUGGAAUAUCUGCAUUUCAUUUUUGAAAAAACAAACUAAUAAUUACAUAAUCCCAUGAAGAAAGUAGUGGAUUAGAAAACUACAAAAAGAAAAAAGUGGAGAAAAUUUUAUUUAAAUUAAUUGAUUUAAUAGUAUUAAUAUUUACUUUAUAUUUUAAUUUUUUUUUUAAAUAUUGUUACUUGAUUUCUAAUUUCUAAUGUUUAAUUUAACUAGUACAAAAAUUAUAUUUUAUGACGUACAAAAACGAAGUAUGACGUACCUAGUUUUGUACUUUAUAAUAGGUCUACACAUUUUAUGAAGUAGCAAAAAUUUACGUCAUGAUAGCCUGAACAUAUUAUGACACAGUUUCUAAAAUCAAUUCAUUUUUUCCGUUUUUUAUGGAUGUCAACUUAAAAUUUGUGCUGGCUCCGAAGAAGAAAGAAUUCCAAGAAGAAAGAAUGUCAAGAAGUUUAUAAAAAAAUAAAUAACUCUAAUGAAAGUGAACAUAGAUAAUUUUACUCAAUAUCAAUUCGAAACAAUUUUCUCCAAUAUUCAUAUAAAAAAAAUGGAUUGAUUUUAAAAAUGCGUCAUAAUAUGUUUAGACUAUCAUGACAUAAAUUUUUGUUACAUCAUAAAAUGUGUAGACCUAUUAUAACAUACAAAACUAUGUACGUCAUAGCUCAUUUUUGUAUGAUUUUUGUACAUGUAAGUUUCUUAUACAUUGAUUAAUGAUAGCUUUUUUUUUAAUUUGACUUUCAUAUUAAUUAAAAAAAACACUCAAUUACUAAAUAUUACAACAAUUAUUAUUUUUUAUAAAAUAAGAAAUACAUAAUAAUAGUUAAAGGAUUUAACAUAGUAAAUAAAUAUAUUGAAAUAUAAAGAAUAAUAAUAAACUAAUAGUUACUUAUACCUAUAAGAUAAUUUUUUUUAAUAUAUUUAUAAGUUAGAUUAAAAUUUCCAUACAAUUUCUUUACAUAUAAUUCAUGAAGUUUGCAAUUGAGGAGUAGGUGGAUGUGACAAUGGGAGGAAAACACAUGCAAUUGUUUUUUUAAGUAGGUUGGUGAGACUUAUUGACAAUUGUGUGCUGUUUUUUUCUUUCAAGUCUUUAAGGCGAGAAUGUUUCAUUAAAUCACUUCACACCACUUUUGCUUUUUUUUUUCUUUCUAAUUUAAAUUCUAAUCUUCCUACCAACUAAAAUUCACUUAUUAGUUCAUAAUCUAGUAAAUUUUUAUUCUUUAAACUUAAUCUCACCUACAACCCUUCCCAAUCUUCUUAACCAAAUUUAUACUAUACUUUUAUUUUAUAUUUUAUUGAAUAAAUACAAAAUAUUUAUCUUUCUUUUUAUAAAUAUUUAGUUUUUUCUAGUGUUGAAUUUUAAAAUUAAAAUAACUAUAGAGUUAAAAAGAUAGUUAUUUAGAUUUAUUUUUUUAUUUUAAAUUCUUAAAUUAAAUCAUAUAUUUUUAUUUUAAAUUCUUAAUUUAAACAAGAAAUUUAAAAAUUUAUUCAAUUUUUUAUUUUAAAUUAUAAAUUUAGAUAAAUAAUUUAAAAAAUUACUCAAAUUAUUUUAUUUACUAACCCGCUCCUUACUUUUUUUUUCAAAUAUAAAAAAAAAAGGAAAAUUAAAUGAUAUUCAAUAAAUUUAUGGGUCAUAAAAGUGAUGGGUUGAUAAUAAAUGUUUGGGUAUUGUUUCCUUCACCCCACUUUUGCUUCCAACCACCUCCUUAACUUUUUUCAAAAAUUUUUUAAUUACAAAAAUAAUUCUCUUUUUUUACUUUUAAUCCUAUUUAAUUAUUUUAAUAUAAAACCCUAAAUUUCUAUCAUUUUUACCUUACUUUUUUUACUUUUUCUUCAAAACUUAAUUCAUUCUCCUUUUCAAUCCACCGCCGCACCACACUCCCACCUCUCACUUUUCAUUUUCUUAAUUCUCUUUUUUCCUCUUCCUUCUUUCGUUCUCUUUCUUCACUCCAUGGCAGCACUACACCCAAGCACGCAUUUUUCUUCAAAAUGUAUUGCUGAAGAGAUUUAUCAAGAGCAAACAUGAAUUCAGGAAGCAAAAUUGCAUGCAUGGGUAUUAUUGGCAACAUAAAGAAGCGUCCAAGGAAUUAUCUAUGAUUCCUAAAAUUUCAAGAACGAAAAACGUUCUUUAUUUUAUGAGUUGUACUGUGAAUCCAGUUUUUGCUUCAAACAAAACUAGGUUUAAAAAUUGUAUUAAUCUUUAAAUUUAUUGAAUUUCAUAAUAGAUUUACACUUGACAUAAUUAGUAUAAAAAUUUUGAAACCAUGAAAACUAACUUCACAAAGGAAGAAAGAUAAUGAGUGUUUGUGUUUAGGGGAAGUUUGAAAGACGAAUAUCGAUAUCCAUUACUGCAAUGAAGAGGUGAAGGAUAAAAAUAGAAUGAGAGGUGUAGGAAGCAAGUGGGGAGGUGCAGAAGCAACACCUAAAUGUUUUUUUAUUAAAAUUUAGUUGGUUUAACAAACAAAACUACCAUUAGAUAUAUUUUGAACAUUUAUAUAUUUUUACUUUUCUAAGUUUUAAUGUUCACUAUAAACUUUCUAUCUUCGUUUUAAUUUUCAAAAGUUCUUUUUGACUGCUAUUAAAAAAAAUUCUAAUAAUAUAUGAAUAUUGAAUACUUUUGAAACAAUUAUAAAUUUUACGACAUAAUUCUAAUUGGGAAUAAAAACAUAUUUCAAUAAUAUUUUCUUUUUAUUUUUUCUUAAUUUUUCUUCAACCAAAUAUAUAUAUCUAAAAAAAUAAAGUAAUUUUGUAUUUUUUAUUAAGAUUUUUUUUGUCUAAAAAGAAUAAAUAAAUCAAUCAAAUAUUUGGAUUAUAGAUAAGAUUUUGAUAUAAAAGUUACUUUGAAAAUUACUUUUGAAUACCAAAAAUUCGUCCACUAACUAUGCAUAAAAAAACUGACAAGAAAAAGAUAUGCAUACAACACUUAUGGUAUUAGUUAACCAAAUAAAUAUAUAUGUAAAAAAAAAAAAGACAAAGUUCUUUCACCACCUAGAAUGCUACCAUCUACAAUUACCUUCUUUUCAAUUUCCAAAAAUUAGAAUGGAAUCAGAUUCUCAAUCAAGGAUGGUUAAAACUAAGGCAAAGGUGAUGGAUAAACAGUCACAAGGUAAGGGACAACACAGCACACUAACAGACUAGAGACCAGAUUAAUAAAGCAAACAAAAAGCACAAUUAAGGAACGCACAAGUGAUGUAGACACAACCAAAAUUUCAACAAAGACAAGCAAUAAAUAAAACUAUAAAAAAGAAGACAUUCAAAAUGAACCUAAGAUCAGUUCUAGAACAGAUUUUAAAAGUAAAAAAAGACCAAUAAGAAACUGCUGAAUUGACUAGGAGAAAAUGCACUUUUCUGGUUCUGGUGGUAAGAAUUAUAGAAGUUUUUUUGUUAAUAUUAAAUUUUGUUGCCAUGGUUUAUUAAUUGGUAAGAAUUAUAGAAGUUUUUUUUUAAGAAUUUCACGUAAAAAUAAGAUUAAAAGAAAAGAAACUCAAACCAGGAAUUAAAGAUGAUAGGGGAAGAAUGUCACCAGUCAAACAUGAAAUAAUUCUCCAUUUUACUAAUUAGAAAAAAAAAAUAUUUGAAAAAAAAGUAUUGUUUGUAACUACUUUAUUGAUAAUAAUUAUAAUUUUAUGGUCAGAAAGUUAACUUUUUGCUAAUUAUUUCCCCUCUUUCUCUUUGCCACCAAUAAUUUACAAAUAAUUUGACGUGAAUAUGGUACACAAAAUACAAAUAAUUUACAUUCUAAAGAAUAUACUGACGUGAAUAUGGUACUGAAUUGAUUAAUAUAUAUAUAUAUAUAUGAUGGUUUUUUAGUAUGCAUAUUUUCUUAUAACUUUAUUUUAAAAUUUUGAUAAUCGAUUUUAUGUAAUAGAAUGAAUAAUAAGUUUAUAAUUUAGAUUUUGAUAAUCGAAUUUAUGUAUUAGAAUGAAUAUUUUAUUAUAAUUUUUAGUAGACAUAUCUUUCAUUUUUUUUUAAGUAAAACAAUCUAAUGAUUAGAUUAUAUCAUAGCGAAAGCGAAAGGACUUUCUGAGUUUACUAUUUCUUUUCUUUUUCUAGUGUUAUUUAAAUAUAAUUUUGGAAUAAGUAUCAAGCAUGUAUGAAUGUGUAUUGUUGUAAUGGAUUGAUUAUGUUAUGAUUCAUGUGUUGAAGUGAAAGUAUGGAGUUCAAGGUGAUGAAAGUAAAGUUCCAAAGUGUAUAUAUAUAUAUAUAUAUAUAGGUUAAAUAUGCUUUUAAUCUCUAUAUUUUGAGACGACUUUGGUUUUAGUCCCUCUUUCAAACUAAGGUACAAUUUAGUCCUUCAACUUUAGAAAACUUUAGUUUUAGUUCCUUUUACCAAAUUUCUUUUAAUUUUAUUUGCUGUUUCAAGCACAUUUCAUUAUAGCAUUUGGAUUGUUUACACUGUUUGACACAUUUUUGCUUCAAUGUUAAAAAAAUUUGGUAAAAAGAACUAAAACCAGAGUUUUUUAAAGUUGAAGGAUUAAAUUGUACCUUAGUUUGAAAGAGAGACUAAAAUCAUCCCAAAAUAUAGAGACUAAAAACAUAUUUAACCCUAUAUAUAUAUAUAUAUAUAUAUAUAUAUAUAUAUAUGAUUGCAUGAAUUAUAGAUAAUAAAUAUAGGAUUACUCUUUUAUUUAAAUUAAAUUAGCUUACUCUGUAUUUUGUACGUGUUUUUGUUUAUUCCUUUGCAAUGAUAUGUGUAUGUGAGUAGAGAAAGAUAACAUGUCCUUAGAGUAAGUUUUGAAUGGGAAUGAUGCAACAUUUUAGACUAGUUUCAUUUUGUAUUUACAUAGUUUUGUAAGAGUUGAUUUAUAUAUAAAGUUUUAAAUUUUAUGUUAUUUUAAGAUAACGAUAAAGUUUAUAUUUUAUAUCUUAAACUAUAGUUGUUUUAUUUUAUUAUUUAUAUGACUACUACUGUAUAGUUUUUGACUAUAUUCUUGAACGUUACAUUUUACAUAUUAAAUUAUUCAAUUACAAUCAAUAACUACAACUUAUAACUAUUUAUUGAUUAAAUUAUAAUUUUAUUAUAUAUUUAAAUCCUUUCGGACACAAUAAAGAAAUUAAAGUAUUUAAAAUUAUAAUUUUGUCUUUUAAUUUUAAUUCAACAAUUUUAAUAUUUAAUACAUAUAAUAUAAAAAUAAAAGUCCUGCAUUCAUUUGUGACCAAAUGGAUUAACAAGUUAGACAAUAUCUAUUUUUUCAUUCCUACUUAAAAUCUAACUCAGUUUCAUUAAAUCGAAUUGAAAGAUGAGAACUGAACUUAUAUACUAUUAUUGCUCUUCUUGUCAGCAACACUAACAAAACAUACUUUUAUGUUACAUCUACGUUGCUAUUCAAUGAAUUUCAUUCCUAAUACUAGCUAAGAACAAUCUCAGUUCCUUGGCUUUCUGCUUGUGUUCAACAGACAUGUCAUUUUCUGAAUCACUCAAAUUAAUCACUUCGAUAUUUUGGUCACUUGGUUGCAGAGAUUUUGAGAAAAUGUUGAAUUUUUUAAGUGGGGAAGGGCUCAGAAGAUCUAUGAUCUCAUUUUUACCUGUAGUGGAAACUUCCUUAUUGGUAAUAUAAAAGUUGCUAGUAUUCUGAAUCAACCCAGUGUGUUCUAUGUCAUGUGAUAGAUGCAACAAGUCUUCUGUAUUAAGAUCAGCUUCAUCAGCCAUAGGAGCUGCAAUCCUUGAUACCCUUUCUGAAGAAUCAGAGGCAUUGAAGUUGUCUUGAUCUCUCAAACUAUUAUCAAGCAACAAAUUCUGAAGCUUUAGAUCAAGCUCAGCAAGAGAUGAAUUAGUUUCCUUUUUCUUUGGUCUUCUUUUCUGAUUAUUUUGUUUCUUCCGUUGAGCUUUUCUUUCCUCAAACUCCAGAAUCUUCUCACGGCAGGCACUGUGAAUGAUUAAUAAUGAAACAAUAAUGAAAGACACCCUAAAGAAAUACUCACCAGCCAAGUUGAAUUUGAAUGUUCAAAAGACACAGCUCAAGUUGCAAGCAAGCAAAACAUAAAUUUGAUAAGAAUAAGAUAAAAUAUCAUAGCAUUACCUUUCUAUAAGAUCUGCAGGGACUAUUGAAGUUUCUAGUCCAUCCAUUCCUUCCCAAGAAACCUCAUAGCAUUCUCUCCCAUGCACUCUUCUGCUCUUGAUGAUUUCUGAGACAGGACACUUUACAGGGAUCUGUGGUAGGAUAUACAUUAGAUUCAUGGAUAUACAUAUCCUGGUUCAGAAAAAAGGAGCCUGGAGACAUUUAGCUUAAGUUUGGAUUGAAUAAUGAAUUGAAGGAAGUGAAAAUGAAUGGAUUCAGGAAGAAAGGUAAAAGUCAGAAUGUUUGGAUUAAAGAAAAAGUGAAAAGUAAAAGGAAACAAAAAAAAAUUAUGAAUGGUUUAAUUAAUAUGGAUGAUACAAUUAUUAUAAAAAUAUUAUACUUUGAAAUAAAAAAAUAUAUUAAAAAUAUUAAAUUUAAACAAUUAACUUUAUUUACUUUAAUAUAAAAUAUAUAUUAAAAAAUUAAUUACAUUAAAAAAUAAUUAAUUAUAUUUUUAUACAAAGCAAGUCUACUUAUCCUAACGAAAUGGUUUUCAUUUUCGUGUUUCCAAUCUAACUUUAUCACUGAAACAGUACAUAUGUCCAUUUCCUCCCUGAAACAAAAUACACAAGCUUAGUGAUGAAAUAGAGUGCAGUAAUAAACGAUUGUUGCUAGAAUAACAAAGUAGAAAAUCUGUUGCAUACUUACAUUGCUUAAUCAAAUGGAUUGUUUCGAUCUUUAAAUAAUGAACAAGUAAAAAGGGGCACUACAAAAAAACUGAUAUUUAAUAGAGGUUUAUUUUCCAUUUUGCGGAGAUUUUUACCUUUCCCAAAUUAAUUUAUAGAGAUUUCUCAAACCCCAUAGUUAGGGCCGUAGCUAUUAAUUUGAAGAGGUUUUUAAUGACUUCUGGUAUCCGGUUUAUAUUAUAGAUGUCUUUUUGAGGAGGGUUUAAUCUCUUCUAUAAGUGACUAUUAUUUUGUAGACGGUUGAAACCUCUUUUAUUUUCAAAUAUUUUACUACAAAGAUUAACCCUAUUUUUUUCAAUUUGACAAUUAUAAUUUAAAAGUUUUAAGUCGCCUCAUUUGUAUUAUCUAGUUUGUGAGUUUACUACUUUAUUUUACUUGUCUUACAUGACAAUGUCACCAUUGAGAUGCUUAUAUUUUUGACAAUAAUAUUUAUUUGUAACAAGAUUCAAAUACUGUAAUGAAGACAAAAAAGCAUGACAAACUUCUUUUACCAAAGUGUUACAUUAUAUAUCAUUAAAACAUUCAAUUCUCAAAAACACCAUAGUGUAUAAAGGUAAAUUAAAUUGAAACGUAAUUACAACUAAAUUCAUAAUUACUCAAAAUUCAUAGACUAAUAUAGUUUCAUCCUAGCAUGAGAUGAUCCUAUUGUAUCCAAGGGAGACUUAGGUUCAUUUGCAUUACCACCUUCUUGAAAUGAUAAAACAAAAAUAUUAAAAUUAGUAAGGAUUGCCUAUAAUUAAAGUAUAUCAAGCACAAUGCUUCAACUAUAUUAGUAACUUACUUGAGGUUGGCGAUCAAAGAAUGAGGUCAAUUCAUCAGGAAUUUUUCCUUCUUUCAUUAUCAUGUAUGCUUUAAAUGGUUGUACUUCUGUUGUCAUUUACUAGAAAAUGACGAUGGGACAAUAGUAUGUGAAGCAAGACUUAAAAUCUGAAAGUCAAAGUCUUGUAUUUCUAAAUGAAUUAGUAGGAGUUGCUCCCAGGUCCAUGGAUCGUGCUCUCCCAAAAUACUCUAGGCCUAACACUUUACCAACAACAUAAUUAGGGGAAACUUUUGAUUCAUUAGUAGUACUUUGAAUCAAACUCACCUCAAUUUAUUCCUAUAGGCAUAUAACAAUUUGCAGUUAAAACUCUAAAUAUUGAAAAAAGUGUUUGAAAAUAUAAUAUUGUAGUAGAACUAACCGCUAUAUCUUUUGUUGCAUCAUUUACAAAUGAUUCAUCUUUUCUUUUAUGAGUUUCAAUGUAUAGUUUUUCACGACUAGACAACUAGACAAUUGUCCAGUUUCCACAAACUAAAUAAAAAGAGAAGUUAAAAUAAAUAGAAAAAGCUAUCAUGUUUACUAAUAUCCCUACCACCUCAUGUCUUUUUCUUGAGAAAGGUUUAGAACCACUAGCAUGAGGAGUUAGUUGUUUAUUGCGAUUUUGUUUAUUUUUUUUUUUUUACACAUCUCCUAUGAGAGAAACAAUUGUAAGUUAAUAUACCAAUAACAUAAAUUAAGUACACAAACAAUUCACACCAUUCAAAAUAAUGAAAAUUGUACCAGUGUUUCUUGUUUUAGACAAUAAGUAACAAAAUGAGUCCAUUGAGUUCUUUCUAUAUCAGUUGGCACAUUACGUAUAAUUUGACCUUUAGUUUUUGUUAGAUCAUAAAACUCAUUCCACAAAUUCUACCUAUGAGCAGCCCACUUUCUACCAAAAGUUAAUUUGCAAUACAGUUGUGCAUUAGUUUCAGCGAUCCUAAAACAAAAUCGAGGCUUUUAAAAAUAGAAAACAUAGUUAGUGUAUUAACAUUUAUAAUAAUAUGUAACAUUUGAAAAGAUAAAAAGUCAUACAAAUAUAAUGAUAUAUAUACGUACAACAUUUCCUUAAAACAUUCAAAAAAGUAAGAGUUAGACAUGUCUGUUUUCCCAAACCACCUUUCAAAAUUAAUUGGAAAAAAAUUGCCAUCAAUUACCAAUAAUACCACAAUAUCCUGUAAGCACGCCUUGUCCUUCACCAAUAGGCAUGCAUGUCUCAUCAAACUCCACAGUGAUAAGUUCCUCAGAAGGUAAGUUAUUUACUUCUUUGACCUUGACCUAAAUUUUCUUGAUAACUCCUUCUAAGUCUUUAACAAUAAAACAACUUUGUCAAUCAUAAUUACAAUUUAAAAAAAUAUGCAUUCAGAAAAAAUAAGUAUGACAUAUACCAAUUGCAUCAACAAUCCAAUACGACAAAGAUUAACGUCCAACUUGUUGUGUGGAUGUGUAAGUUUGUUCUGUGUUUUCAAUGGGUAAUGAGGAUUCACAUCCAACAUGUGUGAAUGUUUCAAUUUUUUAUGUAUUUUCAGUGGGUAAUGAGGAUUCACGUCCAAAUUGAAACAUCCACACAAGUUGGAUGUGAAUCAUCAUUACCCACUGAAUACACAGAACAAACUGAAGCAUCCACACAACAAGUUGGACAUGAAUCUUGAUUAUAUUAGACUGUUAAUGCAAUAGGUAUAUGUCAUAUUUUUUUUAAUACAUAUUUUUUUUAAACUUUAGUUAUUGUUGACUAAGUUAUUUUAUUAUUAAAGACUUAGAAGGAAUUAUCAAGACAAUUAAGGUCAAAGUCAAAGAAGUAAAUAACUUACUUUCUAGGGAAUGCAUCAUUGUAGAGUUUGAUGAGAUAGGCAUGCCUAUUGGUAGAGGACAAGGCGUACUUGCAGGAUAUUGUGGUAUAUUGGCAACUGAUGACAAGUUGUUUCCAAUUAAUUUUGAAAUGUGGUCUGGGAAAACGGGCAUGCCUAACUCUUACUUUUUGGAAUGCUUUAAGGAAAUGUUGCAGGUAUAUAUAUCAUUAUGUAUGUCUGACUUUUUAUCUUUUUGAAAUGUUACAUUUACUCAUAAAUGUUAACACACUAUGUUUUCUUUUUUUUCAAAAGUCUCAAUUUUGUUUUAGGAUGGCUGAAGCUAAUGCACAACGAUAUUACAAAUUAACUCUCGGUAGAAAGUGAACUGCACAUAGACAGAAUUUGUGGGAUGUGUUUUAUGAUCCGACGAAAACCAAAGAUCAAAUCAUAAGUAACGUGCCAACUGGUAUAGAAAGAAUUCAAUGGGCUCAUUUUGUUACUUAUCGUCUAAAACCAUAAACAUUGGUACAAUUUUCAUUAUUUUGAAAGUUGUGAAUUGUUUGUGUACUCAAUUUAUUUUAUUGGUAUAUUAACUUACAAUUGUUUCUCUCAUAGGAAAUGUGUAAAAAAAAUAGAAAAAAUCGCAACAAGCAACUAACUCUGUGGUUCUAAACUUUUCUCAAGAAAAAGUCAUGAGAUGGUAUGGAUAUUAGUAAACAUGACACCUUUUACUAUUUUUUAAAGUUACUAUUUUUUUAACUUCUCUUUUUAUUUAGUUUGUGAAAACUGGACAGUUGCCAUAGUCGUGAAAAGCUAUACAUUGAAACUCAUAAAAGAAAGGAGGGAUCAUUUGUAAAUGUCGCGGCAAAAGAUAUAAAAGUUAGUUCUACUAUGAUAUUGUAUUUUCAAACAUUUUUCUUUAAUAUUUAGAGUUUUAGUUAUAUGUCUAUAAGAACAAAUUGAAGUGGGUUUGACUCAAAGUACUACUAAUGAAUCAGAAGUUUCUCCUAAUGAUGUUGUUAGUAAAGUGUUAGGCCUAGAGUAUUCUCAGAGUGUACGAUGCAUGGGUUUGGAAUCAGCUCCUACUAAUUCAUUUAGAAAUAUAAGACUUCAACUUUCAGAUUUAAGUCUUGCUUCACAUACCACUGUCUCAUCAUCAUCUUCUAAUCAGUGACAACAAAAGUACAACAAUUUAGAAUCUCAAGUUCAAUCAACCUUGAGUGCACUUAAAACAUACAUGAUAAUGAAAGGAAAGAUUCCUGAUGAAUUGCCUCAUCCUUUCGAUCGUCAAUCAAUCUCAAGUAAGUUACUAAUAUAGUUGAAGCAUUAUGCUUGAUAUACUUCAAUUAUAAGCAAUUCUUACUACUAAUAUUUUUGUUUUAUCAUUUUAGGAAGAUGGUGAUGCAAAUAGGCCGAGUCUCCUUUAGGUACAACAGAAUCAUCUCGUGUUAACAACAUUUAGGGAGUUUAUGAUGUCUUUUAGAAUGAAACUAUAUUUAACCUAUGAAUUUUGAGUAAUUAUGAAUUUAGUUGUAAUUACGUUUCAAUUUAACUUACUUUUAUAUACUAUAGUGUUUUUGAGAAUUGAAUGUCACGAUUCUAUUGCCAUCAAAUAUCAAAUCUUUUUCAUGUAAGCUAGUUGUACAUACAAGUAGUGUGAUUUGGAGAGAUUUUGUUUGCUCUGCAAGGUAGCCAGAGUCUACCAACUUUUCAUUAAACAAACACGAUAGUCUUCAACUACGAACAGUAAUAUUUUUAGAACUUGACAAAAUUGUGUCUACCAUCGAAUUAGGUGACACAUGGCGAGAUUCCCUACCACUAGAAAUGUAGUGUGGUGGCAUAUCCUUUGACUUAUUUCUUGUUCGAAAUUUGUUAAUGUAGUUAACAUAACAAAAUGUUUUUAAAUUUCAUUCUCUAGGAAAGUCAUAUGUGGUUGAUUAUGUAAUGUAGAAAGAUUGAUUAGAUUCUAUAUAUUGUUUUUAACCUUGUUUGCAUUAAGUUGGAUUUGAAUUUCAAUCCAACAAUCACAAUGGAUAGAAAAACAUAUCAUCUACCCUUUGAUUCUCUGGCUGAGUUGGAAUUACAUUUUUAGGGGAAGAAGUUUUUACAUUUACAUGGGUAAGUGAGAAUUUAUACUAAUCUAAUUUAGUGAUGUCUACUGAGUAGGGGUUGAGUUAGACAAACAAUUGUCAACCCUCGAAAUAGGUAGGGGAGAGAUCCUUACUGAUACAUUAUAGAUUUGGCGCAAAAAAUAAAGCAAAAAGCAUUUCUUCUCUUUAAAAUAUAUAUAUAUAUAUAUAUAUAUAUAUAUGAAUUUUAUGAGCUACCUAUUACAAAUGAUUGAUACCUUAGACUUCCAAUUAUAAAAUAAGAUGCUAGGGAAAACUGACUUAAAAAACAUCACAAAUCUACUUAAAUAAAAAAGUCAAUUUGAUAUUGUUUAUCUAGUAAAGGUAACAUAUAUUACAAACCUUAAACUCAUGAUUAAACUAAAUCUAAAUAAUGUAGGCCAUGAAGAAAAGAAGAUUUUUCUCACUACAUGAAUAAAAAGUUACUAGUCACCUUCUAUAUUUUAUAAAAGUGUCGAAUUUUGCCAACCACUACCAAGCAAUUCUGCAUAAGAAGAGCAUCUUUUUCUUGAAAAAGGAUUGAACAACUGAUUAAAUAUUUGGCAAUGGAAUGGACCCAUUUUUUCAAGUGAUUUAUGCACAGAUGUCCAAUAGCCAAUGCCAUUACCAAUUGAGAGAGAGAAGCACAUGUUGGUUUGUUACCUUAAAAGCGACACGAUGGCAGAUUAUGAAACACAUUCAAAUGAAUGAAUGUGAACGAGAUGGAUAUCCUACAAGAAUUCCUGUUUAUUUUUUAUGUCAUGCUUCUUGUUUAGAAUUAUUCAAAGACCAAGUUCUCCUUCCUAAUUUGAUUCUUUGAACUUGGCUUUUUACUGUUGAAAAGAGGCCAGACAAGCUAACAAAAGCAAAGUACAGGUUGAACUCUCUUGAAUGUGUCACUACCCUUUUAGAGUGUUACAAGGAAUUUUAGGCCUAAUGCAAUACCCUAUAUGAUUUCAGCUUAAUAGAUUCCACUUAGAGGCUUACUAUGAGAGAUUGAUUGAUGGAGCUAAGCUAAACUUAUAUAUAAGAGUGAACCUAAACCAGAGACUGAAUUAGGAGAGUAGAGGUUUAAUCCAAAAGCAAGAAUGCAAGCAUUAUCGAAACCUAAUGCAAAGCUAAGCCCUAGACUAAAAGUGAAGAAAUAAGUCCUCACACAAGAUGGGACCCUAUUAGGUAGGAUAGUGGGCUUAGUCAGCCCAACAUAAGUUGUCCACAAAAGAGGGUUGAGCUUAGAACAAGACCCAUGGAUGGAUAAGAUCACAUCUUCAUAAUAAAAGGUGUACAACUUCGGCCUCAUUCCAAGGUAAUAGGCCAAACCUCACUAAUCCAAAUUGGAUCAUAUUGUAUGACAAAACCAUAUAUAGGCCAAUAGAGCUUGUGAUGAACACAAAUUAGCCUUGAGCUAUGGGAGACUAAGUAUGCUUUUUUUUCCGUUAUAUUAGAGUGAAAGUUAGCACAAUGUUAGCAUUCAAAUUCCUUUUUGGCCCUGGCCAAAAAAUACCACUUUUUUGGACUCUCUAAACAAAGACCAAGUCCAUCUAAUUUUUUAUUUUCAUUCCAAGGUGGCCCAAGUUGUUAUUCGAGUGGUAUCAACAAAAGAAGUUUACCUUAUUUAAAUAAUAUAAUUUGUUCUAGUGUCAAAAGUAGGAAAAAGUGUUUGGUCUUUUCAAUCAAGAGAUAAAGGUAGAAAGGGUUUACUUCAAUUGCCUACUCUAAGACAGAGCUAAAAUCGAGUGAGGAUUGACCGAGGGAAGUGUCAUCUUGUAGUUGGGUACAAAUACGCCAAUGAAAUAGGAACAUAAAGUGUCCAACAAAGCAUGGGUAGUACGUAAUCAAAUAUGGAUCACAUAGUUUGAAUUGAUCCGCUUUUGAGGUGUUAAGUGAGGAUUGCUCCAUCUUUGAAGAAAUGAUGCACGAGAUCUCUCUCAUUAUAUUAUGAAAGGGGGUACUCUCUUCUCUGAUGUCCGCAAUAUUAUUGGGUUCUAAUUUUGAAAGAUUGAAAGAGGCUUCGGGAUUAAGCUAUGCGGUGGUACUCACAAAAAACUAAAAAGUUCUCUAUUUGGAAAUGCAAGGAGCGAUACAGAUCCACCAAUUAUCACUUUAACACUUUUUCAAAUUGAACAAGCAAAUCUCAACGUAGAGAACUCAAAGCUCUAGCAAGAGCAAACCAUGUUUUCCUUUUGGGAGGACAUACCUCCUGUCGAGGACGAAGUCCUGAUAAAGUGGAUACAAAAUCUCUAGGACCACAUUUGCACUUUGGAAUAACGAAAGGGGGUUCUUAUCAGAGAGUUCAAAUCGUUGUUUAUCAAACCAACCUCCAUUAUCCAUAGGAGACAAGGGGGAAACAACUAAGAAGUCCUUUGUUUUCUUUUUCUUUUUCUUUUAACUUCAUAUGUUGUCUAAUUAGUUUGUCGUGUGACUGAUUUGUUAUGUGCAUAAGCUUCAUUUUGUAAAGGGUUUGUCGGCUCUUUCCAAAAGAUUGAAAUAAGUGUUUGUAGAUGCAAAGGAGUUUGUGUUUUAUUGUAUGGUAUUCUUUGUCUUUUUUAGUUGAGAUCUACUAUGGAUGCUUACUAGAGAUAGACUCAUAUUUAUGCUAACUAUCUUUGUUUGGUUUUCUUUUUUAUGUUAAGCCCCCUAGAUGCAAGUGUUUACUACUUAUGAAAAUAUAAUAAAUACUAUAAUUCAAAAAAAUGUUUUGAAAAUGAAGAAUAAAGACAUGUAUGCUCAAUGUAUUGGAGAUGCUUUUAUUAAGCUUUUCUAGAUUUGAAGCAUUCAUUAUUGAAUCACAUUCUCUAGUACAAAAUCCUUAAUAAGCACAUCUCCAAUACACCAAGUUGAAACCAUUUUUCUUCAUUUUCAACAUGUUUUUACUAACUUUAUUGUUUAUUAUAUUUUCAUAUGUAGUAAAGAUUUAUAUCUGGGGCUUUUCCCAUACCAUACAUGUAAACAUAAAAAAAAAAAAAAAAAAAAAAAAAAAAAAAAAAAAAUCAAACAAACAUAGUUAGCAUAGACAGGAGUCUCUCUUUAGUAACCAUCUAGAGUCUCAACUAAAAGAAAAAGAACAUCAUACAUUUAAACACACUACUUUGCAUCUACAAACACUUAUUUCAAUCUUCUAGAACAUAGUUGGUGGAUCCCUAAUGAAAUGAAGCUUAUGCACACAUAAACACACCAACCACACAACAAUGUAAACAAACAUAUUAAGUUAAAAGAAAAAGAAAAGCAAAAACAAAAGGACUUCGUAAUUGCUUCCCCCUGAUCUCCCAGAGAUAAUGGAGACCACCCUGAUAAACAAUAUUUCAUGCUCUCAGAAGAGAAUCGUCUUCUAGUCCUCAAAAGCACAAAUGUCGUCUCAAAGCUCUUGUAUUCACUUUACUAAGACCUCCUCCUCGACAAGAGGCAUGUACUACCAAAAGGCAGUCAGGGUUUAAUCCUACAAGUGUUUUGUGUUCUCUACAUUGAGAAUUACUUGCUCAACUAGAAAAAGUGUUUGACGGAUUCAUAUCUACUCUUGUUUUGCCAAAUAGAGAAACUUCUAUGUAUAGACAUGGGAAGCUCUAAGAUAAAAAAGAGUCCAUAGUUUUCUACGAGUAUCACCACAUGGCUUAAUUGCAAAAACCCUUUCCAAAAUAGAGCACAAUAAUGUAGUGCAUAUCAGAGAAGAGUGUAUCUCCAUUUAGAAUAUAACAAGAGAGGUCCCCUGAGUCCUUUUUCUUCAUAGAUGUAGCUUGAUCCUUAUUCGUUUACAUACCACAUGUGCUUCGUCGUACACCUCCUAAUCCUAUUUCAUUGGCUUAUUUGUACCUGAUUACAUGAUCGCACUCCCUUCAACUAAUCCUCACUCAAUGACAACUUUGUCCUAGCAUAGGCUAUUGAAGUAAAGUCUCUUCUUUUAUCACUUGAUUGAAAGGAUCAAACAAUUUAUCUUACUUUUGACUGCAGAACAAAUUAUAUUAUUCAAAUAGGUAAGGUAAACUUACUUUUUUCGAUUGUACUCAAAUAGUGACCUAAGCCAUCCUAGAAUGGGAAUAAAAUAAUUAGAUGGAAUGGACGUGGACUUUAUUUGGAAAGCAAAGAAAAGGUGGAAUUUCCAGGCCAAGCCUAAAAGUGGAUCUAAAAGAACCUUCACUUCAAUUGAAAGGGGAAACAAGCAUAAACAUAUUUAGUUUGACAACCCUCACAAAAAAUCAGUGUUCAUCAAAGGCUCUGCUGAGGCUAGUCAAACCCUAUUGUUUGAGGAAAUUAAUUAUUCAAAAAAUGACCCCUAUGAGGUUUUUUCAUACAUUAAGGUCUAAUUUGUUUGGACUUGUUAGGUUUGGCCUGUUACAUUGAUUGAAGUCAAACCUUUACACCUUUUAUUAUUACUAUGUCAUUUUAUCCACUUAAAGGUCUUGUUCUAAACUCUCUCAUCUUAAGGUAGGAUAUCCAUAAACCUUAAAUCAAGGGAACUUCAAUAACCCAUGGAUCACACAAGCUGCAUUACAACAGUAACAAGUCUCAUGCUUUGAUUGAGCAAGUUGUCUAUGUGAGAGGAGAGCUAAAUAGAGAGCAUUACUUCUUCAAACACCAUAUCUUUCUUAUCCCUUCCUUCUUCGUUGAUCAUUUCACAGCCAUUAUCAACUUCUUCCUCAAAAUUUUCAACGAGAGGGGGAUCUUCUUCUUUAGUUCUUAUCUUAACCUUGAAACAACUUUUACAAUCCUACACUUGCCUUAUCUUACCCUUGACUCUCUCUCGGUAGAGACUAAAAACUUGACCAAUAAGAGCAAAUCAUUGUUGUAGUCAAUUGCUUUAGAAUUGGACACCUUCCCCCAACAUCCCAUAAUUCCAUAUCAUGAUGGUGUAGACAAAAGAAGUUUGGGUGCAGUUCGCUCCUUACUUUUGUUCAAGUACAAAUAAUUAUCCAAUUUGAUAGAGAUAUGUAGCAUCAUUCAAGUACAUGCAGAUUGAGAUGGUAGAAACAUAAGCGUGAGUGAUAUAGGUACACCUAAUUUCAGAUCAGUUAUUGCAAGAACUAUAAAUAAAGCACCAAGAUCUCCUAUGAAACAGAAAAAAUCAUCCAUACAUAGCAUAGUCUAAGCGGACCCACUAAAAAUCUUUAUUGAACUAUGACUAGCCAUCAUAUUAGGAAAUGUAUAUUCUAAGCAUGAGCAGUUGCUAUUUAAGUUUAAAAUAAUGUUUAAACUUUUAGAUCUUCUUCAUAUGAACUCAGACAGUAAUGAAAUAUUAAUUUGGUAGUGCAAAGGGCUAGUAGUACCUCAUGUAAAGGAAGGUCCAGUCCAACUUUAGAUGAAGUUAAACGCAAAUUGGCAAAUCGUCGUAAAUCUCUUUCAGCUAUACUUGGAAGGAUAUACCCAUCUAUUUAAUGAAAUGGUAAUCAGCAUCACAAAAUAACUUCUAAACGUCCAGUCCAGAUAAAGCACAGCUCAAGUUUUAUAUUUCCAAAUGUCUAGGAAUUUCAGGUUAAAUGUUAACCCUAUUCAUUACAUGAAGAACAAACACUUGACUGUAAACCCAAACCACAAAAUAAAUUAGAUGUUAAGAUGUUUUACCAUUAUUAAUCAUUCAAUUGUAGAUAUGAAUUGGAGAUCUAUAAGAAUAAGUGUGUCAAAGUAGAUGGAGAACCUGUUUUCUCCGAAGGCCACAGAAAGAAUUCGGCACAUAACUGCUGGAGUUUAGUACGUUGAAACGUAUAUUGAGCAAAAGCCCUACAUAGAGAUGAGUAAAACAUUUUAAGUAAACUAUAAAUUGUUAUACAAUUUAUACUCCAGAUCUAAUUUUCAGAUUACGUAAAAAAAACUCCAUUUAAGAAUCACAAAAAUUUGAUUGCUUGAUAUUCGUAACUGUUUUAAAUGAACUUCAUUUCAGUUUUCAGAAAUUGACAUUUAUACCUGUUGAAUAAUUAAUACUAAGAAUCAUAACAGAAGAAGUAUGAGAUGCACUAAAAAUCCCAGGUCAAUUGUCUACGUUUUCACAUUCCCUGAUUGGUUUGUAUACUGAAUAUAUUUCAAUCUGUACAGAGAAUCAAUCUUUAGGAGUUGCAAACAAUCCACUAAAAAAGGUAGACCUACUUGUGCACAAUAUCUGAAUCUGCUGAGUGACAUUUUGGCUUCAUAUAAGCAUUAAUUACUUCUAAAAUGUUAUCAUCCAGCCCAAGAUCGUUCUUGCCUCCUGUAUAUACAAAAGAUAGAAACCGAGAUACAAAGUUAAAUGGCAAAUCCUCCAUUUGACAAUUGAUUGAAAGUCAUCUUUGUAUACAAGUUAUGCAGACAAGACAAUGCAUUCUAGACGACAAAAAAUAAGCACAUAGGUAUUGGGUAUAUACAUUCCAUCAAAUGGUUUAUAAUCUAUAUUAUAUUGGGCCUAACUGUAGCAUCCUAUUCCUUUACAAUUUACAUUUAUAUGGACAGUAAACAGUUAGUGUUAAUUUAGGUUUUUCAUAAUAUACUAAUUUAGCUAAUAUCUUAUUCAGAUAUCAAGUUAUUUUACUACUCUACUUUAAUUUGUUCAUAUUUAUUAUGGUACUUUUAUUAUUCAGAACAUUACUUAUGUUAUCAGACAAUGGUAAUUUAACCUUGUAUGGUUCCCAUUUUGACAAGUGCUAAGUCAUUUUCCAGCUAUGACGAACUAGGAACUAGGCAGUAAAUGAAAAAAUUGCUUUCAAGGAGUUAUUCUUAUGAUAUUUCUGUCCUUUCAUCUUCUUCUCAGGAUUGUAACCACACAGCCUUUAAAUAUUCACUCUAUCAAAUCCCAAACAAUUUCUUACCUGAAGUUUUUAUAAACCCCUAUCAAACACAAAACAGGCCCUAAUAGCCAUUCUGCGAUCCUUUAAUCUUGGUUUUUUUCCUUGAAUACCGACCCUUUUCCUGCAUACCCUAUAUUAGUAUUUAAAUCUCAUAAUUCUCUCAAACCACCCUUAAUUUUGAAUGUUUUUUAUCCAUUGAAUCAUAAACUUUCUACUGUCUAGCAUCAGUGUCCAGUAUUUUAGGGAACAAUAUAGCAAUAAAUAAGAAACUCGUUCAAUAAUAUUUGUCUUAAACUAUCAAAAGUAAGGGAUAAUUGGUUCAUGACAUGGUAGGUGGUCAUCUACCUUAUCCAGGGCUUCAACCCAAGAGAUUGCAAUUUACAAAAAUAUCAAACCAUGUCCAUUCAACAGUUUAAGAUUUUCAAAUAGUUGGCUUAUGAUCAUGGAUAGUUUAAUAAAGUUUACCACUUGAGUAAUACAAGUCGGAGGACAAACGGCAUGGUCAUUUCACAUAAACAUAUCCAAGAUAUCAAAUUUGAAAACCAAACUGUCAAACUAAUAUGCACACUAUAACACAAUUUCGGACACUUUACUAGUCAAUAAUUCUGAACUUUAAAGUUUACAUGUAUUAUUUACAAUUAAUAACAUGCAAACAAAAUCUCUCUUCUUUGUCAAAAUAUUAAGUGCACUAUCACAUAACUAGUACACAUAAUGUCUCUAAUUCUCUGGAAAGUAUACAUAUAAUAUCAAUUUUGAGUUACAUUCAAAAUAAUUACAACUAAAUUUAUUGCAAAAAACCUUCUCUCAAGUAACAAUUGUAUAACAUUAAGAUCAAGAUUAUCAAAUUAUAAUGCGAGAUAUUAGAAGGUAUACCUCUUCUUUUCUUCACCCAUCCAAGUCCUUCAGAAGCAAUUUUUUUAAGAACAUCUUUGUCCCCAAUUGAUUUGACUAUCUGACAAGCCGACUCCUACAGCCAUCAAAAAAAUUAAGCAUAAGUAUAGGCAUAUGUUAUACAACACAGGGAGAAAAUACGAAAAGGUAAACUCAUGAAAAGCAGAUUUCAAGACUUACUGGACCCAGACCAUGAACUCCUUGAUAGUAGUCACUGCCAAGAAGCAAGGAGAGAGCAAUCUGAAGAUCACAACUCAGUCAUCAGAAAAUAACACAAUAUCCUUGAAGAAACAUAUUUAUCUAUCUAUCGAUAUAUCUAUAUAUCUAUAUGAGGAUUGCCAUUCUUACACUUAUUGAAUAAGACAUAAAUGUCACUGUGUGGAGAGAGAGAGAGAGAGAGGAUUGCCAUUCUUACACUUAUUGAAUAAGACAUAAAUGUCACUAGUUUUAUUAUUAGAUCAUCAAAACGUGUAAGGAAGAGAGGGGUAGGAGUAAACACAACAAAAUUAAUCCCAGAAAAGCAUGUGAAAAUUCUAUAUUCAACAUGAGGCACUAGCAACCAUUUCCAAAUUUCCAAUUCAAACAAUUGAAUGUCAAUUAUGCUUCACAGGGUAACCUCAGUUUUAACAGGCUUUUCGAUUACCGUUCCCUUGAUGGUGUUAACCAUAAGAUAUAUUUUAAGUAUUGUACGUGGACCUAUUUUUCUUGUGUGGACCUUCACAUGCAUAAAAUCUAACUCAAUUGUAUUGAACAGUGGACAAGGAAAGAUUAUCUAUCAAAAACAAAAUAAGAAAAAUAACGCAAGUAAACAUUGUGGUACAUAAGCAUGUCGAAAAGUCAAUGAUCAGUUACCAAUGAGUCCCUUCCAAGUCCAAGUUUUCUUUCGAUGUCUGACAUCUCAUAACAAACAACAUAUCCACCGUCUCCUAAAACAUCAAGAAAUUACUACUCAUUAAUCAUAUGAAAACAUAAUAAAUACAAAAAACUCACCAGUAAUAAAACAAGAUGACCUACUCACCAAGGCAGAUAUCCCUAUACACUGUCCUUGCACCAAAAAGGAAUAUGUCUGAAUCUAGACUAAAACAUCCAUCCUACCAUAAUUAUUAUGAAUCACAGACAACAAUGAUUAUAGGUUAGCUGAAAGCAAUAGCAUAAGCAUCCAAUUAAAUCAAAAUUACAAUGUGGACAGAAAAAGAAUAUGAAGAUAGAUAAGUAUACACCAGUGCUUACACAUAAUGAUUCAAAAUUCAACAGAGCACAUUGAGCUUCAGCUUCUUCAAUCCUGAAUAUAGAAAAGAUCAAGAUAAUAUUAGUUCAACUGAGCAGCAACUUCUUUAUUAUCCAGCAGUGCAAUUUUUCAAUCAAUUAUUAAAUGAAAAACAGAGAGCAGAAACAUUCAUUUAUAAACAUGAGCCUAGACUGCUUAGUACCGCUAUGAGAAGACAUCAAGCACAUGUUCAAAUUUUUAUUCAAGCACAUUGCCUACCAUAAUAAAUGUUUAGCACCUUGUUUCUCUUUUAAUGAAUCAGUGCCCUCAUAUAUACCAGGACUAAAUUAAAGGAAAACUUAUUAAUUCAAUUGACAUUGACCAAUCAACACAGUAAAAGCAAAAGACUUUCUUCUUGAACUAUUAUUACUAUUAUACGAUGAUAAAUUAAUGUUCAGUUUUUAUUGAAUUUAAGUAAAAUAUAUUUAAUACUAACAUUUACCAGACACAAUAUGAGAGCAUCCAUUAAAACAAAACACGGAACCUUGACAUCAAUUCUAUUGUAUAUUACCCAUUCAAACAAGAAAUUCCAAGAGCCAUCCCCAACAUUUUAGCCUCUCUAAUCAUGCAAGAAAACUCAGACCCCAUAUUUCUCUGUAACGAAGUCGCUUUCUGUAGCUUUGUUUCGUUUUGUGCUACCUGCAUUAUUAUUAUAAACUAACUGAAGUUAGUGGAAAGAGAGUUAGAAAAGUAUAAACAAUACGUAAAAGUAUGGAAAUGAAUAAAUUAUAUAAGGGAAACCACAUCAGAAAAGAAAGAUGAGAGGUCCACCAACCUCCUUUCCAACAUUUAAACGACGCCUAUAGGUUGAUAAUUUUAUGGCAGGAAUUGAUCCAUCUGCCAGACAUCAAAGCUUAGUCAUUGGGAAGAAAUAUGCAUGAAUAAUGUAAAUGCAAACACAUUCAAAUAUUCAGUUCCACAGUCACAGAACACCCACCUCUUUCAACAUACUUUAAUUAAAAAAAAAAAAAGUGCGGAUAUCGCACUAUUUGGUUGCCAAAUGUGUAAAUCUUCGUCACAUUGGUCGUUGAAACUGAGAAAAUCCAUAAUAACUCCAAGAUGUCACUUAAGUUUUUAAGCUCAAGAACUUGCCCAGCAAGUUUAACAUAAACAUGUUAAUAUUAUUACUUAAAUCAAAGUUUUUUUUUUCAAAUUUUGAGCUAAAGUGAUUAAAAAAAAAUGGACAUUUUUCUCAAAAUUGUUACUUUCAGUAUGUGAUAGUGUAUAUUUCAAAUACUAAAUGGUGUUUUACCCUUCAAAAAACAAAACCCCCCAACUCUGAAAUUACAAAAUUUGAUAAACCUGUGACGAAGACGAGGCUGCAAUUGAGCGCAAUGAGUGCUCGGAGUCGGUGAAAGAGCCCUUUAAGAUACACUUUCUCCUUUACGCAAGCGUGGGACUUGCUCACGCUGUGAAGCUGCACCAUCCAGCACGAGAGGUCUACGCACACCCUCUUGUUCCUGACCAACAAAACAAAGAUCGGCGUCAACGGCGAACACCGUUCAGAGGGAAAAAACGGAGUUUUGAGGAAAUUGAACACACUGUAGAUGGUGAAGGGGAACCCUUUUCUUGCACGAUUCCAGCAGGUCCCACAAGUUCUUCACGCCCAUUGCAAUGGAGAGCGAGACUGAACGUUGGUGAGAGGGAGAAAGACAGAAACUUUUUCAACAAGAGGGAAAACAAAGGAAGGGUUUACUCAUUUAAGAUUUUGAAAUUCAAAAAAUAACUCAAGUUUAUAAGGGUUUCAUGUCUCUGUUCUUUACCAUCAUCAUGUCAUGCUUUCUCCCACUCUUAAAAUAUAUUUUCUCGUCCAAACCACGUAAAAGUCAUCACUACAUUAAAAUAUAUACAAUUUUAUAAUUUUUAGAAGUAAUUAACCAAAAGAUAAAAAAAAUAAAAUAUAUAUAUAAUGUUGUGAACAUAAUAUUAAAAAACUACAUAGUACUAUUUAAAAAAUAUAUAUAUAUAUAUAUAUAUAUAUAUAUCUAAAAUAAGAAAAAUUAUUUAAUUGUUUAUUUUAUUAAAUAAAAAAUUAAAAUUAUCUAAUUAAAAGAUCAUUGUCCUUAUAAACUUAUUUGUACAAGUCUUUCAAGAUAACAGGAACUUUUCAGAAAUUUUUAAGGAUCUUAGAACUAAUAAAUGAAUUCUAAAAAUAAACUAAAAAGAUAGUUUGAGGAAUAAAGUUUCCUUUGGUAUAUUUUUUUAAAUGCAGGAAAUGCUCUAUUAGAAACUUUGUCAAAACUCAUUGCCACAAAUAAUGAAUAAUAAAAAUUGUUGACACUUGUAAAGUAAACUUGAAUAAGAAAAGAAAAAUUGUGCACUUAUAAACGUUAAUGAGAAAAUAAAAAUUGUUGACCAACAUUUAAAAGUAACGUUUCUUUUACAAUUAUUAUUGUUUUAUAAUAGUUCCAUGUUGGUCAAUGGUCUCACGCGCUCGCUUUGAUUUCAAUUUUGCGAAUUGUAGGCGUUUCUAGAAGUUUCUUACAUUUGAAGCAAUUGUAGGGCAUUCUUAAAGCUAUGUAGUUCUCUUUAAGGUAAGGGGAGCUAGUAACCUUUGUUAUUGCUAUUUCAAAUUCAAGAGUUUAAUUAGAUUGUGUUGAACUUGGUUAAACUAUAAUUUUGCAAGCUAAAGUGUAUAUUGUAAUUGGAAUGGUUUUAAAUAGUUAAUUGAUUACUUGUUACUGUAAUGAAUCUGGUUAGAGUGAAUCUUGAUUGUGAUUUGGUUGUACUUGUGAAGUUAGUAAUGAUAUUGGAUUAAGAAGUUGAGGAAAAGAAUGCUAAGUUAGUUUGCAAGACAAUUUUGGUCUAAAAAUGAGGUUUCAAUAGGUGACUUGGUGAAAUAAUGGUCCAGGUGAAGAGAUGGAGUUUUAGAAAUUGCUUUGUUGUUAUUUGAAACUUUUUUGAGUGAUGAAUGUGUAAAGAAAUGAUUUAGGAAUGUACAGUAAACAAUUGAUGGUGUCUUGAAAUGGAUUUUUGGUGUAUUUAGAGGUUUUGGAUAAUGAGAUUGUAAAUUAGAAGUUGUGUCAAAAUGGAAGUUUAGGAGAGUAUUGGUAAGUUAUUCUUUGACUUGUUAAAGUCCUUGGUUGGUAAAAAAUGAGCUAGAACUUGUGGAAUUGAAUUUUGAUCUCUAAGAUGAGGAUUUAAUUAUUUUUGAGUUGAUAUCUUGCUGUAAAUAACUAAUAAUUUGUUUUAAACAUGUUAUACACGUUUGGUUAGGUCUAUAGUAGCUUAAAAUUCUAUUUAUGAGUGUUAGAAGUUGGUAAAAAUGGUUAAAAUAGGUCAUGGAUGAUCUAGGGUGUUAUUUGUGUAGUUUUCAUGUUGCAUAAUUAUGUAGCAAGGCUAGACGAGCAAGAGAGGCCCCGUUGGGAAAGUUUAAGUGAGUUCUGACAAUAAGUUCCAAUGGUUGGGCGAGUUAAUUCGUUGGGCUCAUGGAGCUUCCUCUUUAGGGGACUGCUCACUGGGUGAGCUUUAGGGGUUUAUGGCAAUGAAGUUUAGGAGUUGGGCGAGCUCUUUUGCCAGGCUUGGGAAGUCCUUUGUUUGGGCUCUCAUUGGGCGAAUUGUUUAUGCUCGUUAGGUGAGUGAGUUUGAGUUGUUGUAGAUAUUUUGAAUUCUGUUCUCCUUUAUGUUUGGCUUUUAAUGAUGGAAUAAUAUGUCAAUUGAUCACUAAUGUGAUUUUAAAUGAUAUGACCAUAUGAACAGUUUGAUUCAACUCCAUUUGGUUUGGAAAGAAUUUCUAGGAUGAAAUUCUUAAUGUUUGUUUUAAGUGAGUGAUGUAUUGAUGUGAGGACUCAACCUUAUAAGUUAUCCUAAGAUCCUAGUCCAUGGACUGGUGUUCUUUGUCCAUAGGUGGUAGAUGGAUUAACCUUGUGUGGUAGCUUGAGGGUUACUGUUUCACCACUACAAGCGAUAAACUUGUCAUAGUCUGACAUCAAUACAUUUAUUUGAAUGAGUUUACCUAGGUUAAUAACAUGAUUAGGAUGUUUGGUUUCUUUUGAAUGAAAUUAAAUGUAUAAUGUGAAUCUUAAUGCUUAAUAAUUGUUUGUUCUUUUUAUUAUUAGUUCACCCUUCUUUUGUAUUGUUUGUUGUUUGAUUGGAUGGGUUGAUUUUCUGUAGUGAUGAUCAUCUGAUAGGUGUGAAGAAAUGGUUAUGACAUGUCUUUAGAGCAAGCCUUAGAUAAAGAUAGUGUUAAUGUAUAGACAAUAUAAUAUUUAUGUGUUUUCGUUUUCCUGCUUUAGUUGUAUUUGAGAAUCCGUUUAACUGUUUUGUACAUAGUUUUGAGAUUAAAAAUUUUAUAUAUAAAAUUUAAUUAGGUUAUGUUUAGAUAAUUGUAUUUAUAUGUCCCGUUAAUAAUUUUUAUUCGAUUUAAUUGAUAUAUUAAUGUUUAGAUAAUUGUAUUUAUAUUUUAUAUGUCCUGUUAACAGUUUUUAUUAGAUUUAAUUGAUAUAUUAAAUAGUACAGUCUAAUAUGACCCUUUUAAGUUUUUUUUAUGAUAAAACAGUAUUUUAAUCAUAUUUACAUACUAUUUAUUAUAAAAUUAUUAUUAUGUCUAAGUGAGUAUUAUUUGAAUAAGAACAUAUAUCUACCUUCCAUUCUAAUCUUAUAAAUACAAAAGAAAUAUUCAUUUAAUAAUCGCUUUCACUUAUAAAUUAUAUUCUUUUACCGACUUGAGAUUAAAAUCCCGCUACUUAAUCCACAUUUAUUAUCAUCACGAUAAAAAUAAAUAUAAAUUUUUAUUUACCAAUUGAAAAAUUACUAGUAAUGAUUAUUUUUUUUCAUAAAUAACCAACAAAAACACAAUUAAAAAUUUAAUACUAAAAUCAAAUUGUAUUUAAAAGCAAUACAUAUAUACUUAUUAUACUACCUAUUCUAACGUAAGAGAUUAAAUUGUAUAUUUUAUAGUUUAAAAAUUCAUUUUAAAGGUAUAUGAAAUAAUAUAUAUUUUUAUAUAGUAGUAUAGAUAUUUAUUUUAAAUGUAUUGUAAGGAAGUAUUUGACAAAAAGGAGAACUUUUUUAGAAAUAUGAAAUUAGGAAUACUGUUUAUUUUUAUUUUCUUUUUAAAAAUAACUCUGCAUGCAAUGAUAUUUUUAAAAAUAAAUUUGUAAAUUUUUCUUCGAUUUAGUAAACAUAAUAAAAAAUAGUAUCUAAUAAAGUUUUUUAAAUCUUUUUAUUAUAAAACGGUUCAACUUAUGUUUAUUUAGACUAUAUUUGUAUAUUAUAAUUAAAUUUGACAUUAUAAUUAAAUAUCCAUAAUUGGUAAAUUAAUUAUUAUAUUAUUAUCAUGUUAUUAUAUUUUUAUUAUUUUAAUAGAACUAUAAUUUUAUAUUAAUCUAAUAAAUAUAAUUAAUAUUUUUUUAGAAAACAUUAUCUUGAUAAUACAUAUACCCUUACCUUACUUUUCGAUCUAUCUUUUUUACUAAAGUAUUGAAAAGUGAUUGGUAAAAAGAUUAUGAUAGCAUGAUAUUUUAAUAAUAUUUUUUCACAAUUUUUUAAAAACAGAAUAAGUAUUAUUAUUUUAUUAGUUUAAUUAAAUUUAUAUUUAAAAAAUUUAAAACAGAUCAACCACAAUUUCUAAAUUCUGUUAUCAAAAAUUUGUAAAAAAGUAUUGGUAAAAAUACUUUUUCUUCUUAAAAAUAUAAACAAUUCUUAUAAAUUAUUACACACUUUUUAUAACAGAAAUAAAAGAAAAACAUGAAAAACAAUGUGGGGAAGGACAAUUGACAGUGAGUAGAAUACUGCAGUCACUCGGUCUGCAUCUUCAAAAUCUCAUCCUCUUCUCUCUCUUCUCCUAUUUAUUCUCCCUCACACCAACACUUAUACACACAGUGUGCAGCUGCAGCAGCAACCAGAGAAGAUGGCUCUGCAACUAUGGGAGACACUGAAGGAAGCCAUAAUUGUCUACACCGGCCUUUCUCCGCCCACCUUCUUCACCCUCCUCGCCCUUAUUCUCGCCAUCUACUAUGUAAUUACGGGCCUCUUCCCCUCCUCCGACCACCGCCACGA